UCAUAAUGGACGCCAUCCUUGACGUUCGUACCGAAGAUGGGAAGCGCCAGACAAUGAGGGUGACAGUCGCAGACAGCACGCCAGCUCCACCUCGACCACCAGCUGACUGCAGGUCAUGCAAGCCCCGGCCAACGCCGACGCCGAAGGCUACAGCGGUGCCGACGCCGACACCUACAGCGGUGCCACCUCCGACUCAGGAGAAGUGAUGAUCAUCUGGAGACAUUCUUUGGCCUGUAGUCUGAACAUAGCUAGCAUGGAGUGAUUGUUUUGCUAUGCCUCAUCCCUGAGAGUGAGAGAGAAAUAAAGUAGUGCACGCUGGACCAAGCAUGAGAUUGGUGGAUUAUUUUCUCAUGUACUGGCGCAUGAUACUAGUACAUCAUAGAAUAGGUUACACGGGUGUUUUGUUUCGCGGCGAGGCCAAUGCCGCGCAAUAUCUCACAAAACAAGACCUGGAGAGGCUAGCAACGGCAACAUUUUGACUAGAGCUCAAAUUCUUUUGUUGGUUCAUCAUUCAUUCAGGAUAUCUUUCGCUGCUUGCGGACUUGCAAUGCGGCUGUCUGUAAUACAUACGGACACACGUUAGAGAGCAUGCCAAAUUAUCAUUUAUGAGAUGGUUGUUCCAGAUUACACUGAUUGCUUUUGGUGUGCUGCUCAUUUUUCUCCUUCCCUAUCUGUCCAAUUGGGUCUUGGUGGUUUUAUUCUCCCCGGCCUCUCUUGCCCUCUCGGAGGAUUCGGUGGGUGGCCUUGUGAUGCCGCCUUGGCUUAGAGGUGAUCGGCGCGGUCCUCUUGUGUGGCCUCAAGUGGAGUUGGACAUUCCAUCAAUGAUUUGAAGGGCAGAGUACUUAUGUGCAAGUUUCAUUGGUCACUUUCAUUUACAUCAUGGUUCUUCUCCGGCCUCCAUGGCCGAGCUCGCUCUCACGAGCUUGGCAUGCUGAUCAAGAGAUCCUAGAGGUUUGCCUGUUCCUUGUCAUCGACAGGCCGUGCUUGUACCUGUUCCUUGGCUUGGCAGCUCGAUCCUUCUUCAGUUAACUGAACCCCGUCUUGAGAAACUGGUUCUCAAGGUGCAGCCGUGGUGUCUGCAUCCGGGACCGUAUCACGAACACGUAUGGACGGCCAACCUCACAGUUUCGCCCUUGGACUUCCUACCCCGUGUUGCUGCUCCAGAAAAAGGUCGGCCGUGAUCACCGCCUCAAAUAUGACGAGCUUGCUGUGCUCGCGAUGGAGCCGUUGGUGCAGCCGAUGCACGAGCAAUGUUAAGGUACCACUAGCAACCAUUCUUGAUCUCUUGAUCUACUAUUAUCUCUCAUUGAUUUGGGAUACAAGCUUCGGCUACAGUGAUUGGGGGUUACACACAGAGAGAGGAGCGAGAGGGGGGAGAAGGAGGAAGCGGCCCCGCAUAGUAAGGGCAAAGGAGAGAAGUAGGGAUCGGAGAUCGCGGGCGCCGCUAGCCACUUCACCCAAGUCCCUAUGGUGGUAAGUAGUAGGGGCGUGUCCUACUUGAGGCGAUUUCGAGCCGGUUUACAUCUCUCUCUCUUUUUUUUCUUUUGUGUCUGUUCUUUUUUCUUCUCCGUUUUUUAAUUCUUUACUGGAUUUUGUUUCUUACAACCUCUUACAGAAAUGUAGGGAAAGGCUGCGUACAAUAGACUCAAAGUGGUCGGACCCUUCCCCAGACCCUGCGCAAGCGGGAGCUACAUGCACUGGGGCUGCCCUUUUACUGGAUUUUGUUUCUUCUUUUUUCAUUUUCUUUUUUCUUCAGAUUUAUUUGUCCUUUUUUGUUAUUAUUCUACAUUUUGUAUAUGUAAACAACAUUUUUCUAACACACGUCUAACAUUUUUCCAAUACAAAUUAAACAUUUUUGUAAUACAUGGUCAACAUUUAUUCAUUAAACAUUUUAAAAAAUGCUUGAAUAAUUUUUUUCAAAUACAAAAUUAAAGUUUUUUUAAUACAUGAUCAAUAUUUCUUUCAUAAAUUUUGUCUAUGCUAAAAUGCUUGAUUAAUAGUUCUAAAAAAGAUUAACAUUUACUGAAUACAUGGUCAAGAUUUUUCUAUACACAUUUAUUAUUUUCCAAACGGUUUGAUUAACAUUUUUCAACCACUUGUUCAACACUUUACAAAUGAUUGACUGGCAUUUUUGUAUACAUACUUCACAAUUUUCUUUAAUACAUGGCCAACAUUUUUUUAUACACAUUUAACAUUUUCCGAAUCCUUGAUUAACAGUUUUUAAAAUACUUGUUCAACAUUUUUGCAAAUGCUUGAUUAACAUUUUUAUGUACAUGAUAAAAAAAGUUCAUCAUUUUUUAAUGCAUGGCCAACAUUUUUUCUAUGCACAUUUAACAUUUUCCGAAUCCUUGAUUAACAUUUUUUAAAAUACUUGUUCAACAUUUUUGCAAAUGCUUGAUUAACAUUUUUAUGUACAUGAUAAAAAAAGUUCAUCGUUUUUUAAUGCAUGGUCAACAUUUUUUCUAUGCACAUUUAAUAUUUCCCUAAUGCUAGAUUCACAUUUUCAAAUACUUGUUCAACAUUUAUUUUCAAAUGUUUGAUUAACACUGUUAUAUAUACAUGAUCAAAAAAAUCCAAUAUUUUUUAAGUACAUGAUCUACAAUUUUCUACACAGAUUCAACAUUUUUGGGAAUGCUUGAUUAACAUUUUUUAAAUACUUGUUCAACAUUUUUCAAAAACAUUUUGUAGAGUGUUUUUUGUAAUGUAUAUAUUUAGAAUAUUUUAAAGUAUAAAAAAGGUAGAAAAAUAAAGCAAAAUGAAAACAGAAAGCAGAAAAAAGAGGUUGUGGCGUGCCGCCCGCCUGGGUCGGGCGAUACUGUUCGUCCCUUCAGAGAGUCGAAGCCCAUGAUAGGAAGGGGGCUGACAGGCGGCAAGUCAGAUUGAAUCGUGCUCGUGCUAUUUAUUGGCUGGGUCUACGGCAGAUUUCGGCGGCGUGGCGCGGGAGUAGUAGUGGGACGAAAUUUCAGCUCGAGCCGUUUUUACGUUUUUCACUGGGUGCGGCGGUGGCGUGGGAAGUGGGCGCUCCCGCCUAGUUUUUCCAGGUUUUUGUACACUAUUUGGAGAUACUCUGACAUUGCACACAGAUACUCCUUCCGUCUGGAAAUACUUGUCAGAGAAAUGAAUGUAUCUAGACGUAUUUUAGUUCUAGAUACAUCCAUUUUUAUGCAUUUCUUCGACAAAUAUUUCCGGACGGAGGGAGUAGUUUCUUAGCGGCACACACACGAUUGACGUUCAAAAAUUAAAACGGACAUGGGCAUGGAACGCACGACCUCGUUGCUUUCCGCAAAUGAUUUGAAUCCAAAUUCGGCUAUUGUAUUUGAUAGCAUACGUCAUCUAAAGUGAAAUUAUAUUAAUGCGGAAGAAAAAGAAGAGCGUGAGUGGGACAGGCGUGCUUAUGAUGGGAAUCGUUGCAUGGAAAACAAAAAAAAAUCCUACGAAUUCACCCAAUAUCUAAUCUGCUAGAUGCUAGCAAUAAGUGGGAGUGAGUCUACAUAUCCUUGUAGACCGAAAGCGGUAGCGUUCUAACGAACAUGGUUGAUGUAGUCGUACUCUCCGUGAUUCAAUUCGAUCGAGCACCGCACAAGCGACACCUCUGAGAUAUGCACACGUAUGGCUCGGUGAUGUCUCCUUCCUUGAUCCGGCAAGUGAGAGGGAGAGGUAGAUGAGAUCUAGGUCAGCGGCACGAUGGCGUGGUGGUGGAGUAUAUGGUGGAACUCUAGCAAGGCUUCGCCAAGCGGCUGCAGAGCGAGGAGGAAGUGGAAGAAGAGAGGGAGGGCGACAGGCAGUGCUUCGGGUGGCUGUGCCCAGCCCCUUCCCUUCUCUUUAUAUAGGGGGUGAGGGGUGUGGCCGACCUCCCCCCUCCAAGGCAAGGGCCGGCUGCCAAGGGGGGAUUCUUUCCCUCCAAGGCUUGUGGCGCCCCUCCCCCUUAGGGUCCCCCCUUGGCCGCAUGGGCCUUGUGGGGUGCGGUGCGCCUGAUCCAUGUAGGCCAGGUCGCCACCCCUCAGCCCAUGUAGGCCUCCGAGACAGGUGGACCCCCGGAACCUUCUGGAACUCCCCGAUACAAAUACCGGAAAAAAUCAAACACUUUUCAGAACCCCGAAAACCACUUUCCUUAAACGAAACUUUACCCCUGGACUAUUCUGAAGCUCCUCGUGAUGUCCCGGAUACCAUCUGAGACUCCCAACUAUCUUCUGGCUCACCAUUAUGAUUAUCCCAAUACUACCCUAGCGUUACCGAACGUUAAGUGUGUGACCCUAUGGGUUCGAGAACAUGCAGACAUGACCGAGACACCUCUCCGAUGAAUAAUCAAUAGCGGGACCUGGUUGCCCAUAAUGAAUGCCACAUAUUCAACUAAGAUCUUUAUCGGUUUGAACCACGAUGUCAAGGAUUCAGAUAAUCCUGUAUACAAUUCCCUUUGUCUCACGAUAUUUUACUUGCCCGAGAUUCGAUGUCAAUAUCGCCAUACCUAGUUCAACCUUGUUACCGGCAAGUUCUCUUUACUCGUUAUGUAAUACAAUAUCCCUGUGACUAAACACAUUAGUCACAUGCUUGCAAGCUACUUAGGAUAUCAUGUUACCGAAAGGGCCUAGAGAUAUCUCUCCGUCACAUGGAGUGACAAAUCCCAGUCUCGAUCCAUGCAACCCAACUAGCACCUUUAUGAUAACCCAGUUAUGAAGCGACGUUUGAUACCCACAAAGCAUUCUUCCGGUAUUAGGGAGUGGCAUGAUCUCAUGGUCUAAGGAACAGAUAAUUGACAUUAUGAAAGUUGUAGCAAUUAAACUAAAUGACACGAUUAGAUGCUAAGAUUAUGAUUGGGUCUGUCCAUCACAUCAUUCUCCUAAUAAUGUGAUGUCGUUAUCAAAUCACAACUCAUGUCUAAUAGUCAGUUGCAUACUUAGACAACUGGAAAUUUAGAAAACACCAAAUACACAUUAGGAAAUGUCAGAACUGUGAGUUAAUACCAACGAGGAUGCGGUCAUACCGGCCAGCCCUGCCUGUAAAGUGCAGGGUGUGCUCCUUACCAAUAGGGCACGAUUAGGAGGUGGUAGGGGAUGUUGUGCGCGCUGUUGCCAUGGCGGGUGGAGACGGCGGCCAGCGUGCGGCUCCCUGGAAGAUGACCUUCUUCCGCCACCAUGCCCAGCAUCCUGGCAAGUCCGCCCUCCCGGCUCAGCACAACGACGACAAGCUCGACGGUGGCCUGGCUGGCGUACACCCGCUUCAGCGUCAUUAGCUCGAACACCUCCCAGGCGACCCGGAACCGGCCGGUGCGCUACGCCGCGUGCAGCACGGCGUUGAAGGCGGAGAGUGAAGGGAGCACGCGGUGGAGCGCCAGGUACCGGCAGGCCUCGAGGGCCUCCUCCGGGAGGCGGAGCUGCGCGUAGGCGUGCACCGGGAGGUGGAGGCCGCGGGCCGUCGCGGCAGUGCCACUGUCCCGUAGGCCGCGGAGAAGGCGUCCAGGAAAUGCGAAGCCGGCGAGGAGGAGUGCCUGGUGAUGGCGGCCUGGAGGAGGACGGAGGCGUGGCUGACGAGGGCCGCGCGGGCGAGGAGGUGCACGAGGAGGCAGUAGGAGCGGAGCGAGUGGGGUGACGGCGACGAGGCGGCGGACCAGUGGAAGAAGCUAUGCGCGUUCUUGGCAACGGUCUCGGCGGAGGAGGGGGAGGGGCUGGGGUUCCUGGCGAGAGAGAGGAGCACGGCGUCGACGUGGCCCUCGGGCGCCGCGGCGGCGGGGAACGCGGCGAAGAGCGCCUCCCACGUCACCCUCUGGCUGUGCGCGAGGUAGUGGGAGAUGUGCUGGGGCGUCGCCGCGGCGGCCACGGGCAGGGCGGAGGUGGCACCGCGGUAGGGGAACGGGACAACACCACGCCUCUAGGAGUUCGAGGGCGUCGAUCCUGGACGUAUCGUCGGCGGCAGCGAGGGACGGUGGCGGCGAUCCCGUUCGUCGGCCGCAGGGAGAUCGCACGAGUUCGCGGCAGCGAGAGACAAAGAAUGGAGGAGGGAGAUCGAUGGACGGGGCGUUUACAGAUAAUAUUUCAUAACAAAUUAAGUAGGUACAUAAUGCUUUCAUGAUGAAUUUUUUUUCUGUGGUGUAUGAUGCGUCUUUAAAAUCUUUUAUUUGUUUUCUUAAAAUCUUUUAUUUGUUUCCUUAAAAUCUUUUAUUUGUUUCCUAAAGAAAUUUGCAAUAAUGAAAGGUAUCGGUUGAUUUGGAUAAGUUAGUAAAGUUAGAUCCGUGAUUGCGUGUAUGUUUGAAAAGUGCUGAUUUGCAAGAAAAGAGCUGAUAGGUAAAUAAACCUGUGAAUAAGAAACCAGCGUCGAUGGGGAGGUGGGAGGAUGACGAAAAAAAACGGAGGUGGGAGGAUGAUGAAAAAAGAAACCAGCGUCGAUGGGGAGGUGGGAGGAUGACGAAAAAAACGAAGGUGGAAGGAUGACGAAAAAAACGAAGGUGGAAGGAUGACGAAAAAAACCAGCGAAAAUAAACCGCGCAAACUAUUCAUCAACUGCUCCAUUAAGAAUAGAGAUUCUCUCCGCUUCCGUAUAAGUAGCAGCGCGCACUCCAUUACGUUAAUCCCAUUCCCACCUCCAGCGCGAGCCAGAGCCCGCUCUGUAUAUACUGAAUAUCUGCGCGCAUGCACGCUCUGCCUAGAAGCUUUGCGAGGACGAGGAGCAGAUACCGAGGAGAGGUCGGCUGCUGUCGUUUGCAUCAGGGCCAAGCGAUUCUUGCUCUUGGGAUAGAAAGCCAAGCGGACGGUUCGAUGGUGGUGACGGCGACGACGGCCGCGGCGGCGGCCACCAUUCUGGCGGCCGUGAUGGCGAUCUUCCUCUCCUCGUGCUCCGCGUCUACAUAUUCCUCUGCGCCGAGAGGUCCAGGGGAGGGGCGCCGCCGCCGCCGUCGAGACGGAAGGACCGGAGCAGGGGAGGGCGUCGCCCCGUGGUUCUACGACGGGGGCCUGGACGACGCGUCCAUGGCGUCGCUGUCCCGCAGGGAGGUGGCCAAGGGGGAGGCCAUGGACUGCGCGGCCUGCAUCACGGAGCUCGCCGCCGGGGAGAUGGCGCGCGUGCUGCCCCGGUGCGGCCACGGCUUCCACGUGGACUGUGUCGACAUGUGGCUCAAGUCGGGACGUGGAUUUUUAGAGCACUUGGACCCGGGCCCUGCUAUUCUUAGCUCUCUAAUAUCGCUUUAUAUACAACUAACUUUCUAUAUGUAAUUUUCUUUUUUUUUGUUUCUUCCACAUAGGACAUAUCUUGAAGUUCAAACCUAUGCAGCGUGGCAAAGCUUUCUAACUAGAAUCUAGAAUAAAUCUUUCAAAAUGUUUUAUCCGACAUAAAUACUAAAAAUAUAAUUUUUUAAUCAAAUAAAACAUAUUUUGUAUAUUUAUGUUAGACAAAAAAAUCUGAAAGAUUUAUCCUAGAUUCUACUUAGAAAGCUUUACCACGCGGCAUAGGUUUGAACUUCAAGAUAUGUUCUAUGUAGAAGAAACAAAAAAGUUAAAUGUAUUUGCACGAAUCUUAAAGCAAGAAAUGGAUGGCUAGAUAAAGAGGACCUGAUUGCGUGUGCUCUAAUAUAUAUUUUCCGUUCAAGUCGCACUCCACCUGCCCGCUCUGCCGCUGCCCGGCCGUCGACGCGCGCGCCGGUCCAGGCGCCGUAGGCCGAACAGGAGUCGCCCAACUUCCCCACCAACGUGCUCUUCUUCGGCUCCCAGGACGAUGUCAGCAUCGGCCGUGCACAGCCGCAGCAGCAGCAGCAGACUCCCACCAGUCCACCAUAGCCAACUGAUGCACCAGUCAGUUUCUCUGAAGAACCACUACUCUGAAACAAAAAAGAUAAGGAAAACAGUAGGGGCCUAAGUGCAAAAGGUGCAACGCUGACCGCUCGUCCACUUGGCGUCCACUUGGCUGCAUGUGAUUGGUCCAGGACUAAACUUGCUCAUGCUAUGCAAGUCCAGGGACUACCCGGUCCACUUUUUUUUUCGAAACAGAGGCAAAAAUUUUGCCUCAUUGAUUAAUUAAGAAGAAGAGAGUUGCCCAGUUAAUUACGGAAAACCGGGCGAAAACCGAUACAAACAACUCAUAUGUGUACUACUCACAAAGUACAAAACACCCACACCACUCAAGAGGCCCUCCAAAGGUGCAACAAUCGCAACCCUCGACACUUGCACAACACAAUGACACUCCUGCCAAACACACCGACAACGGCAAAACCUGAGCACCCUCCAUCAUGAAACCAUGGACGCCUUUCGAAUGGCGCCACUCUUCUUACUUUUGUUCCUCUUUGCUUUCUCCCUGCCUGGCUUCUCCUUUGAGGGGCAACCACUUGUCCUGCUAGAUUGAGGCUGAUCUGCCACCCAUUUGUCAAGAAAAUCAUAAAACUCCUCAAAUUUUUGGGUGUCAAUGUCGUCCACCAAAAGGCUCCGAGGAGCCAACAUCAACACACCAGCUGCAUCGACAUCUUCAACUAGAGGAACCAUCGACACGACAUCAUCAACCGUAGGGUCGACCGACAUGAUGGACUCAUGCACCUUCAGUUGCUUAGAUGACAGAGGCGAAACAUGUCCCGCACACGAGGUCAUCGAGGAGUCAACCUCCAAAUGCUCCACGAACAAUGGCGAAGUAGGGCUCAGACAUAGCUCCCGCAGCUCGGGCAUGGCCUGCAGCACCGGAGCCUGAAGCACGACGACGGACUCACCCUCAGUGGUAGACAACAUAGGGGACGAGGCUGACAGAGACGAUGAACUGUCCCCAACACGAGGGGAGAAACAUCCAUAUAGCUCUUGGUCCCCUUUCUCAAUGGAGCCAACAUCGGCCACACCAGGAGGGCGUGACAUCGGAGUGGUCUGCGACAAAGCCGGCGCAAGGGAGAGACUGCUCAAAGCAGCCUCCGCUCGCUCGAGAAGACUCCCAACACGCGCCAGGCAAAUCUGCAACAGCGCUGUCUGAUCCGCCAAAGCGGAUUGUAACAUCACAUCGGGCGGUGUAGCCAAGCCAACAGGAGUAGACACGACGGACGCCCAAGACCCAUGGCGAAGCGCCUUGGAAGGGAGCGUGGAUUUCAUUGGACCCUCACAUGAAGCUGGAGCAGGACGAUGUAUGAUACCGAGGACCGGCGGCAUAGCAAGGCAUGCCAAAAGAGCUUAGAGGACGCCAUCGAUUGCGGCAACCGCGUGCAAGGUGACCGUUCUCCAAGCAACGACAACACCGAAGCGGAUCUCGACAGUCAACUGCACGAUGCCCUGGAGCAAGGCAUUUGCAGCAUCUACCAUGCAGCCAAGCAGGGAUUGGACACGGGGCCAUUGUCGGGGCUGGCGACAUGGGGUGACGUGGACCACGUCGGGGAAACACCUUCUGCCAUCCCCCACUCGCCUCCUCCACACACCCCAAGCCCGGCUGAGCGGCCGACGAGGUUGAGCCCUUUACAGCAAGCUGCGUCAAAGGGGCCAGCUCCUCUUCAUCGUCGUCAUCUUCUACGUCAGCAGCGAGCGAGACCCAUGACUCAGGCUUUGGUUGCCCCGAGUCGAGAGGCCGCGGCUUCGAGCUAGGAAUGGGGUCUGGUUGGUCCAGAGCGAGCGCCCUCGGCACGACCUGGCUGGCGGGCGCGGAGACAGGAGAGCUCAUCCCCUCUCGGUCCUCGGCGACGUGGAUCGGAGCAGCAGUGGUCUGCACAGGGAGCCGUGCAAACGCGGGCACUGGCGCAGCCAGCUUGCCCGAGGACACCUCCGGCACCUUCUUGGGCCCACCACCAACAAGGACGUGGCCCAGCACCGACUGCGGCGGCGGGGACACGAGCUUCUGAUCCAGAUGGGAUCGAGCAGCGGACGGCGGUGGCUGGAGAACGCCGCGCUGGGUGCAGCCAGCAGGCUCCACAACGGGAGGCGGCAGCAGCAUGCCGGCCGCGACGCGGGACGGCGACGGGGUGGCCGACGGGCCGGUGCCGGUGACGACCGGAGGGACGACGCGAGGCAUCCAGGGCGCAGCUUCCACCCCAGGAAGGAGAGAGCAGACGGCGCGGAGGCCGGAUCCGGGAGCGGCAGACGCGGGGGGUGGCCGGAGCAGGGAGAUCCGGCCGGCGGCGGCUGCCCGCUCACGCGGCAGCGAGCGCGGACGCGAGAGCCAUUGACAAAAGAUCUUCUGAAUAUGAAAUAUGAGCCAAACCGAUUUCGAAACUGGGAUACUGUAUUCUCCGGCCAAGAUAGCAAAUGAGGAAAUUUCGAACUGGGAUGGACGGGAUCAGGGGUAUUUAGAGCAUCUAUGACAACUGGACCCUCCACGCCGCAAAAAAAGGACCCUCCAUUUCCCUCUAAACCGGUCCACUUUUACAGGUAGAAAGACUAAACCAUCACAUGAUGUGUAAGUUCAGGACUAUUACCUCAAUAAAGUAGUACACACUGGACCAAGUAAGCAGGAGAUUUGACGGAAAUCUGCUGGUGCUUUCGGGAGCGCAUUCCUCCACGUGAAAACAAUAUUUUUAAAGUGUGAAAAAUUCCAAACAAAAAUUUGGCGCAUAUAUCUCGACAUUAUAUGUGCGCACGUCAAAUUUCGAAGAAAAUCGGCAUUUUUCAUGGCUAUUAGGAACCUCAUGAUUCACUUUCUCACUGGGACAGCCUGAAUUUCUGUCAUGGAUAAGUUACAGCAACAGAGUUCAGAUGGUCCUGCAUCUGGACUCGGGUGCUUGGUCUGAAGGCGCGGCCGCCAUGUCUGCAUCCGAGACAAUAGGGAUGGCCAAGGUUUUGGUUACCGAAUGAGGCAAUUUUACCGAGGGGGACUGGUAAAUGUGGUUACCACGGUUACCAUGAAAUACCGAGAAUAUUUCGAGCGAAUUUUGUAGUUGAAUUUGAAUUCAAAUAAGUGCAUGAACGGAUAUUCGAACCAGAGACCUCUCAUAACAAGAACUAGGUUGCUACCGACACACCAGAACCAACUUUCAUGUCAUUAAUUAGAUCCUACGUACUUUACAGUAAAUCGAGUGUUUAAAUUCAAAAAUUUCAAAAAUGGUAUUUUUUGCUCGGUAUGGCGAUUUACCGAGGGGCACGGAAAUACGCGGUAACCAUGGGAAAUCUUGAAAUUUUGACCGGUAACCAAAACAGUGGGGAUGGCCAAUCUCCUGAUUUCGCCCUUUGGAUUUCCUACCUGGUGGCCGGUGGUGCGGCCAAUCUCCCGAUUUCGCCCUUUGGAUUUCCUACCCGGUGGCCGGUGGUGCGGCCAAUCUCCAGAUUUCGACCUUUGGAUUUCAUACCCGGUGGCCGAUACAUAGCUCCCAUCUCACACCGUGCCGCCCGAGAUCCUCCCCAUUUUCCGACAUGCAUCUUCGUGAAACAUGCUAUUUUCGAAAUUUGUGGCCUCGUCCUCCGGUCUGAUCCUCGAAGUUGGCCUCAUCCUUGUCCAUACUAGAUCUAGAUUAUUUUCCUCGUCCACCUGCAAGAGAGUCUCCUCGAAUUGAAGAUGGCGAAUCGCCCUCUUAGAAAGGCGCUCAACGAAGUUGAUCCUCACCAACAGAAUUGACACAUGUUUUUGUUGGCCGAGCGAAUUAUGGAAAGGCUAAGUUUGUGGUGUAUUUUGAAGUAAUUACUUUUAUAAAUGCUUCUAGUUCCCCCUAUUUUUUUGGAUGAUUAAAUGACAAUUUUUUAAGAGACUAAUGUUUUUUUGUUUAUACACAAGUGAAUAUCAUUGAGGAUUUGGUUUAAUCGAAGAGUAUGGACCCCUAAAAUUGUGUCUGACAAUGAAGUCUUUGGAAUGCCCAUGCGAGGUAUAUUAAGUUGUAGUGUAGACUUUUGUUUACUAGUUUCAUUUUCUUCAAUUGAGUCAAUAUGACAAACCAUACUACUAAGGGGGUUCAACUCAAAGUUAGAUUGAAGUCUUCAAAUGUAUUAUAAAUCAUAACCUAUUUCUUCAAGAGAGUGAAGACUUGGAAAUCUCCUUCCAAGCGAGUUAUUUGGCUUUAGUGUCUUCGGAACAUCGGAGUUAAGUUCUUCACUGAGGAGUUAGAUGUCUCGUGUCCCAAGACAAUCCACGUGUGUCUGAUAUAAAAUCCGACCUUUAGCCGCGUGUUGUAUUAUCGUUGUGAGUGCACUUCUAGUGGUCAUAUCAGCCUUUGUGGUCAUGGCGCCGGGGCACGGUCUCGGCGAUGUCCUCCUUGUCGGUGUCGCCGAACAACGCCUCGCCCGCAUCGUCGUCGCACUCCUUGCCAACAGUUGCCACCUCCGCCAUCCACGCCGCCACCCGCUGCUGGUAUCGUCAGCGGGCGAGACGGAUCUCGCGGGCGGAGCGAUAGGACUCGAGCAACGCCUUCUGCUCUGCAAGGUCCGCGUCCGGCGCGACCACCCUGCCGGCGGCGAGCUGCUCCUUCGCCUGUAGAUACUCCUAGAGGAGGUUGUGGUUGUAGUUGGCGUCGUCCUGGGCCUCUCGGAACUGCUCCUCCCGCUCCACCCACACCAUGUCCAUAUAACGGGUACGAGAUGCACCGAUGGUCAUGGUGCAAUGCACCGGCGAGGGUGGAGUGGAGAAGGAGGAUGGCGUGGAGGAAGAGGUGGGUGGCGUUGGCUCGUCGUCGGAGGCGUCCUCCAUUUGGACGUCGACCGGCUGCCUGCAGCCGGCAGCAAUGGCGUCCAUGGCCUUCUUCUCUGACGUAAGCCUGUCCCGGAGAAUUUGGCCGCAGAGGGAUCCAUGGCGUGAAGUGGUGUGGAGAGGGAUGACUUUGGCUAUAGCAGGGCACUGGGGCAGCGGUUUAUAUAGAACUGGUGUGCGGCAGAUGGACAGACAGGUGGCGCUGGAGGAGACGCCUGGGCAACUGCGUGUGACAUAUGGACGAACGGGCGACCGUCGUGUCAUUUGAACACGCGACGGUCGCCUGCAACAGGAAGCGUCACGGGCAGCGCACUCUCGGCCGGCGUGCCGCUUCCAUGUCGGCGCUAGUGAGCAGUCACAUCCGCUCUGGCCGGGCAUGAAGGCGGGUGCUGACGCUCUGGAGCGGUGUUUAUCGAAAACUCNNNNNNNNNNNNNNNNNNNNNNNNNNNNNNNNNNNNNNNNNNNNNNNNNNNNNNNNNNNNNNNNNNNNNNNNNNNNNNNNNNNNNNNNNNNNNNNNNNNNNNNNNNNNNNNNNNNNNNNNNNNNNNNNNNNNNNNNNNNNNNNNNNNNNNNNNNNNNNNNNNNNNNNNNNNNNNNNNNNNNNNNNNNNNNNNNNNNNNNNNNNNNNNNNNNNNNNNNNNNNNNNNNNNNNNNNNNNNNNNNNNNNNNNNNNNNNNNNNNNNNNNNNNNNNNNNNNNNNNNNNNNNNNNNNNNNNNNNNNNNNNNNNNNNNNNNNNNNNNNNNNNNNNNNNNNNNNNNNNNNNNNNNNNNNNNNNNNNNNNNNNNNNNNNNNNNNNNNNNNNNNNNNNNNNNNNNNNNNNNNNNNNNNNNNNNNNNNNNNNNNNNNNNNNNNNNGGGCUUGGGAUCGGUCCAGACUCUCGCAAACCUUCCUCAUUUUUGUGUCCUCUUUGCACGAAAAAUUACGUCUGGACCGAUACAUGGCCAUGUUGGAUGGCUUUCACGGUCUCAACAGCAUGAUCGGGACCAAUGCGGUCGGUGCUGGAGAUGUCUGAUCCUAGACAACUGUCCUUUUUGGACGUUUCUUUUCAGUCCGUGUGAGUUGUAUUUGCUCCAUUAUGUUUAAUGAAAAUGUGGUAACUUUCUAAGAAGAAGAAAAGCGCUGCUGCAUGCAUGCAUAUAUGCAGCCAAAACAGUGGACCCCAUCAUGUGGAUUUCAGUCUUUCUCUAUAACAAAAGGACGUGCCCACCACGACACACAUAGGAGUACGCUGGACCGACUCGCCACGUGAAUCAACACGUGGCCCGAAUCGUCACAUAGACACGUACACGAAACUUUUCCAACAAAACCCGAACUAGUUGUCCAUAGAAUACGGCGCGCUGUCAACCAUCGCCGGUGGCAUGCAACGCGUAUUUGCGCCAACGUUUCUUUUUCCUAGGACUAGGAUAGGAACAUGGCAUGGUGUGCCUACAUUUUUCUGUUGCCUUUUCUUGUUGGCGGCUUUUUUAAGUCCUCCUAUAAGCAGCGAUCUCUCUGAUUUAAAAAUCGUUCCCGAAUCAUUUCGAUCACAGAAUUCCAAAAUGUUUUGAGCUUAGGUUUAAUCUCCAUCACAACUUAAUUUUAAAAGUUCGAAAAAAUGGUACUCUCGGCUGGACAAACCGUGUAUGUGUCUGAAAAAUUAAUACUCUAUCAUUAAAAAUGGCCACUCAAUGAUUGCUUAGAGUAACAUGGCCCACUCCUCCAGGUCAAAGCCUCAGCAAGUAUAAAUAUAUCUUCUGCCAGCUCUCUCAUUCAUGCAUCUCCUUCCUCCAACCAGCACCCAAGCGGAUCCGAGAAAACCUGCCGUCUCUCUUCGUCCCCCCACGGCCGGCCUCUUCUCGUUCCUUGGCGCAGCUGCCCUUGCGCUGCUUUAGGCGAUUGUCCCCGCCGUCAUGUUCUCGAUCGGUAAAGGGCAUGUGGCCGUCGCCGUCCACGGCGUCAGCAAGGUCGCCGGCGCCAACUUCCAGUUCCAGUCGGCGGCGGCUUCCACCCUCACCGGGCUCAGCACCAUGGGAGGCGUUAUCGGGGUCGUACUCCUGUACGCUCCUGUGUAAGUCUCUCUAAGCUCCUCCGGUCCUGCCUUACACUUCAAUUCAGUUAUACAGCCAAAGAUCCUAGUUCUGGGCCGGGCUUCUGGCCGGAAGGCCACGUUGCCCUACCUUGCCGGCCGGCUAGCCACCGAGUAUUCCUUCGGCGACUAGUCCGGGCCGGCCGCCCCAGCGCCGGAAGCACAUCCGCCCCGCGCCAUGGACUCGUGGCUUCCCCUUCGGUCCUUCCUUGUCCUCAGCCUCUUCUCGCCCCAGGCAACUUCUUCCGGCCAGGAGGCUAGCGUGAGGUCAGCGCCGACUCCCCGACGUUACCCUCCUUCUUGUCUUGAGACUCGUGAGUCGUGAGGCGCUUCAGGGCAAGAAAAAGACAGUGGCCACGGAGCACCGACACAUAGUCGAGAGCAUUCUUGCAGGCUCGCCGCUCGACGACCAGGCGUCCCCUCCCCCUCCCCAAGCCGUCCGGUCCGCGUGCAAGAAACCUUCUCCUCAUCCGCCUGGAAGUGGGAAUCCCGAUCUUGACGACGCGGGCGGCACCGCGCCACCGCCGGGUUCCCCAGCGGCCAUCGCAGGCUGCAACGUGGUUACACCAACUAAUCUUCCGGCGGCCUCCCCGAGAGGUCAGAUUCAUGUGCCUUUGUGAUGAAGGCUGGACCGUGAGGGCAAAAUCACAUUAAUGAACUCUCAUGCAUGGUUCUAUCCCUGUCCUAGCCGUCAUGGCCAACGUGGCUGACACAUGAUCUGUAGCUUCAAAUCCUGUGACCUUGGUGCUUCGGCCCUUCUUGAGGUGUCAUGAUGGUCUUAAGCGAGUUUUUGUCAAGAAUUCUCGCGUUUCAAUCUCUUUUCCAUCAUCAUCAUCAUCAUCAUCGAUAUGAUACAAUACAACAACGACAAAUCAGCGGUUCGUUGCAUGGUGUGUGUCUUUGGCUGCGGGCGUUUGUUUCACCUAUUGAGGUGGAUGGCUCAAUCGCCGAUUCAAACUAUCUGAGUUUAGUUCAGCUUGUGUAGGUUCAGUCUUGUGCAGUUUUCUUCACUUAAGUCAUGUGCUAAAAAUUAAAGAUAAAAAAAGUGGAAAUACAUAAGUCAAAGAUUUGGAUAAUCUUCACUUUCAGUUUAUCAUCACGAGUUCUUGGUGUUUGUUUUUAUUUCAUCUUGUUUGAUUUCAUGUACCAUAUUUAACUGGUUAACAAAGCUGGGUCAUCAAUAUAACCUGUAACAACACUAGAUGUCACAAAGAAAUGUACUCACAAGUAAAACAUUUGCAUCCUACAAAUGCUAAAACUGCACGGUAGUGUUGGUGCAAUAAGUUCAAAUGUUUAUUGCAAUUUCUUAUCAGCUGAAUGCUAGUUUUUCAGCAUCAAGUUGCGCAUCCCUUGAACUUUCUCAUAACAUGGGAAUCGAUACCCAUUGUCCAGCGCCAGCAAAACCUACAGAACAAAAAAAAACCUUUGAUCAUUUCAAGCACAAGCAGUAGCAAGACUAAUGAAAUGACACAUCAUGAAGAAGAUUUAUGGUUUCAACAUUUCAGCAAUACAAAAGAAGACCUUGUAUGCACCAUUUUGUGCCAGUCAGAGAGAGGGCUACAAGAAAAACUGCUACUCACUCGUUGUUACAAGGCAUCAUGCGCUUCUAGAAAGAGAACAACAUCAGAAGUGGAUAGUGGAAUAUAUUCAGCAACUGGAAAGUUCACCCCUUAGGGCUUAGGUCAACAAGCUUGCAACCAAAAAUACAUAGAACAAUACAAAUAAAAAUGCAAUUAUAACACACAAACCUGUAUAAAAUGCUCAAGAACUCAGUUUCACCAAAGAUAGAAGAGGAUUUUCUUAUGCAACCAUUGUAUAACAAGUGUUGGGAGAAGUCUAGGAAAAAAAUUAUGCUCAGAAUAAAGCCACACAAUUUUAUCCAGAUCACCUUAUGAAGCCACGAUGUAGAGGUCACGAGAGCCACAAAGCCACAACAUUAUACUUAUGCAAGUGCCAACAUUCUCUUUAUCACAAUGUUCACUUGAGAAGAUGUUUCCUGGCUAAAAUCGUUUACUAAGCCACCAUUUCCUUCCUUUCAUAAAAGGCAAAAUGCAAAAUAAAAACAGCACAGUCUACAUAAAAGUUUAAAUAAAAUAAUUAAAACACAAACUUACAGAAUAUAGCAAACCUCAAGCAAAUGCAGAUUCAGACAAGGUAAACAUUUUUAAGCACAUAACCUGCAUUUUUAAUAUCUGCAUACUUUUGGGUGUGUGAUGUGUCAAAAAUAACUUUAAUACUGACAUCUCUAGAAAAUUAAAUUUAUCAAUAGUUGGAAAAUAACGGCAUCAAGAACACUCAAAAGUAUUAAUUGCAAAAAGAGAAAAAAAGUGACUGCGGUUUCUUCAUUUACAAUGGUCUAAUUGCAUUGCCAUAUGUCUAUGCAACUUGUAUAAUAGGUGCGGUUUUAUAAAUCAUUAUACAAGUGUGAAAAGUGUAAAUACUUCUAAUAAGAAGAAAAAAGAACAUACAAAAUGAAGGGAGAAAAGUACACAUGUUUGUAGCAAGUUGAGAUACUAGGCCAUGUUAGUUGGUAUGCUAUGGAGAAACUUGAGUUUAUUUUGGUGCCAUUUAUUGUAUAAACAUGAACACCAACCUCAUAUAUCAUAUUCGUAGCAAUAAUGUUUUUACUAUAUAAAAGAUCAAUGGGUACCUCCAUCUUGUUCAUAUAGAGGUCGACAAAUAAAUCUUCCCCUUUUCCGGCUCUAAGAACAUCUGUUCCUAUCCUAGCAAGAAAGUAGAAAAUAGUUAUCACUAUACAAUGGAUCUACCAUUUCAACGUGACUGACCAAAAUGCGUAGAAUCACAUAGCUUGCAGCAAGGUAGAAGCAUUUCUUAGAAUCUGAACAUAUAGAGGAUAUUUGACACGAUUCCUAUCUGCAAAAGAUACAUUACGCUUCUAUGAUGUGUAAAACAAAGAAGAAACUAGUGAUGUCAUACAACAUAGAAACACAAAUACAUGAUAAUAAUAUUAGAAUUGCAUAAGAUGGAGUAGUAAAAUUUAUAUUGGAUGCUAUCACGAGUUAUAUAGUGGAAUUGCAUCCAUAAUUCGUUCAAGAACAAACAUGCAUAAUGAGAAAUUUAUAUACAAUUGUAAAAAAUGAAUAUAUGUGAUUAGUUGAAAUUUCAGAGAGCAAACAAAAGAAGAAUCACCAGAAACUGGGAAGCAAAUUGAUGGUAGAGCAUGCACAAGGAGUGUACAUAGCAAAGUUUUUAAAUAUAGCAUUAAGUCUCUUAGUGGUGACUCCGAAAAAGCGAUGGAAUCAUGCAUCAAUUUAACAUAAAUCAAUAAAGAAAUAAACAUACAUCAUGCAUCAAUUUAACAUAUACUUGAGAAUAUACAUAUAUCAACUAGCAUCCAACCAAAAUAGAAGAAUGACAUUGUGUAGUUGAUAACGGUACAUAAUAAGAACAUAGUGGAGUUCAUUACACUAUAGAAGCAAGUCAUAGUGCAAAGGAUAGCCACAUCUCUUGUCUAGGUCGACUUGCUACAAUGGAGCAGAGGGAUUUUUUUUUUGGGAAGGAUGGGGUUUGGAUCUUCUGUCCCGUGCUGGAUUUUGGUUUUGGACCCAAAAAAGUUGGUCCACUGCGACAGGAGAAAUAGUGUAGCGCUAAAUGACGGAUAGAUUUAGCGCCAAAUGGCAUUUAGGGCCACUAUUUGAGUGAGAACCCUUUUGACCAGAAAUAUAUGUUAGCGUAGCGCAGCUCCUCUUUGCCGUCUAUAUCGGUGCCAUUGAGACACUAUUAUGCGCUAUUUAAAACAGUGGUACAAACUAACCACUUCGAAGCCUGCCCACAAAUUGUUGUACUAACUCGACAUACAUUAAACCUGAACCAUUAAGUACCCGCCUCAGAAAAUUUCAAACCAGAACCAUCAAGAUCUUCAGAGAUCCAAUCACACAUAUCAUACUUCUGAGAGUACACACCCUCAUUUCUCAGCAUUAGUUUUUAAAGAUGAAACAGAAAUCUAUCAUGCAGCACAACCCAAAACAAAUACGGAAACAAUAACCUAAGGGUCCCAUGACUAAAAACAAUUCCAAAUGUGCACUAUCAAUGUUUUGGUUGAACUAUUAAAUUUGUUCAAUGUUACAUGUUCAAAUAAAUACAACAUUGACUAAUGUUGUAUAAAAACAUACUAUAUGAGCUAUUUAGUUCGUAAAAUCAAAAAUAAAGAAGGGGAAACUACCAUAGAUUCUAGAUAGAAGAGGGUCAUUGACCAGACAAUAACAUUCCGAAAGGUAAAUGUAGUUCCAUUGCAAAAAAGGAAGAAAUAUGGAUUUAGUCCUGAUUAAUGAGACAGUUGCACAUACAUAAAUUUGUUCGAAAUAAUUAGAAACAUCUGUUCAACAAUGGAGCCACUGCAGCAACACUAAAUAUCAGAAGCAUGAAAAAUUUCUAACAUAGCAUGAUACACUGAAAUAGAAAAGAGAAGAUUAAAAUAAGGUACAUGUCCAGUUUUUGAUCAUUCAUCUUACUUUCACUAUUCAUGAACAUUUAAGUAAGAAACUAUGUUUUUUUAAGAAAGUAUAUAUUUUCGCACCUAACUAGCUGGUUCUGUUGUGUGUUAAUUAUAUAAUCCUAUCGAACUGAGUUUAUAUCGUGUCAAGAAAAAAGACUUCAAUUAAUUUCACUCAUAGGUGUAUAUUUUCAGCCAUUGCAUUUCACAAAGUAAACAUGCAUCCAAUGGGAAGAAUCGUCCAUCGUGAAAUUCACUUCACACAUUUGAGCAUUUGCAUUAAUCACUACAAACAUUUCAUAGCCGGACAAGAAAAAUUAAAUCUGUGGUGGAUCUGGAAUCUUGUGUCACAAUUUACGUAUAUAGUGUAUAGACAAAUAAAUUCAAUAUACUAGUUCAAAAUAUGUGAAAAGUACACCACAAAUAGUAUAAUUUGUUUGAAUGUCUUGGUAGUUCCAACAUAUAGGCCCAAAAGAAUGUUAAAUUGUUAGAUAACGAGUGUUAAGUAUAUAAUAAGAACCUUUUUGUAGUUUAAGACAGGGUUACAUGGCACCCAUGGAAUCCACACUGGAUCCACUACUGGAAAAAGGUCCACAUAACCCUCAAGGGACAGGGGUGCUUUUACCUAGUUUGGAAAGAUGAGGGUGCGCGAUGGGGGAGAGGGGUCAGGUUCGUGAAAUCCCAAGAGGUAACCCCGGAUGAGAAGCAAAUUCAUGUGCAAGCCUGCGGAAAACAAGAUCAGGUGCCUUGCAUGGUAGAGCCUUGGAGGUAGGCAUCAUCUCAACUCUGCUUUCCAUCUAUCAACUCUUCCUCCUAGCCCCAACUCCCGAUCAGCUCCCUCCUUCUACUCUACAUCUGCACUCUAUUUCCCUCUCGUGAUGUCAGCAUGACAUCAGGUCUCGGGUUGUCAUAGACGCACCAAAACAGGUCAUUGUUGGUGACCCGGAGCUCGAUUUGUAGGAGCAAGUGAAGGAAAAUACAAUUGUUUAGCUUUUAAUUAAUUGGAUUGGAUCCCAAGGUGGGGUAUACUAUAAUACAAGGAGGUUACAAUAUUUGGAUGUAAAAGAAAUAGACUAUGAUACUAAUCCUCCUUGAUUCGGCCAGCUAGACANNNNNNNNNNNNNNNNNNNNNNNNNNNNNNNNNNNNNNNNNNNNNNNNNNNNNNNNNNNNNNNNNNNNNNNNNNNNNNNNNNNNNNNNNNNNNNNNNNNNNNNNNNNNNNNNNNNNNNNNNNNNNNNNNNNNNNNNNNNNNNNNNNNNNNNNNNNNNNNNNNNNNNNNNNNNNNNNNNNNNNNNNNNNNNNNNNNNNNNNNNNNNNNNNNNNNNNNNUGUCAGCAUACUGGGAAGAAGUCAGUACGAGGAGAACACAGACAUCUCCAAAGGCAACACGCUCAUGGACAAAAUGAAGAUCAAUCUCCACAUGCUUGGUACAUUGAUGUUGAACCGGGUUUGUUGGGAGGUAGACAGCGGAAAUGUUGUCGUAGUAGACAACAAUAGCAUGCUGAAUAGGCCGGUGGAGCUCGUACAGAAGCUGGCGCAACCGGCAUGCAUGCCUUAGCAACGACAUUGGCAACGCUGCGGUAUUCAGCUUCUGCACUUGACCGGGAGAUAGUUUGCUGGUGUUUUGAGGACCAAGACACCAAAUUGUCAAUGAGGAAGACAAUGUAGCCGGAAGUGGACUUUUUUGUGUAGGAGCAUCCAUCCCAGUCGAUGUUAGUGUAGGCAGUGAGCAAAGUUGGCGGCGGUCAAUGUAUCUGAAGUCCAUGGUAAAUGGUUCCCCAAAGACACCGAAGAAUCCUCUUGACUACACUAUGGUGCGGCUCCCAUAGGUCAUGCAUGUACAAGCAUACUUGUUGCACGUCAUAGGCGAUGUCUGGUCUGGUGAAGGACAAGCACUGAAGAGCACCAACUAGACACUAUUAGCAGAUGGACAUCGAGGGCAGCGCUACCGGUAGCGAGCUUGGACUGUGUACCGACAGGAGUGGAGAAGUGGUUGCAUUCACUCAUGGCCACAUGGUCAAGCAUGUCGAUGAUGUACUGUCGAUGAGAGAGGAACAUGCCUGCAGAGGACUGAGUGACGGUAACACCGACGAAGUAGUGGAGGGUUCCAAUGCCUUUGAGAGAGAACUCUCACUCGAGAGCCCUUAUGGUUUGCCGAAUAAGUUGCUCGGAGGAGGCUGUUAGGACUAUAUCGUCAGCAUAGAGUAGCAGGUAGACAACCUCAGUGUUGCGGUUGUAGACGAACAGCGAGGGGUCCGCGUGGGUAGCGACAUAACCGGGCCAAAUAAGAUAGUCGGCAAAAUGGCUAUACCACGUGCACGUCACCUGUUUAAGCCCAUAGAGACACUUAUUGAGGCGACACACAUGGUCGGGUCUGGAGAUGUCGACGAACCCCGACGGAUGUGCACAGUCGACCGUCUCGGCAAGGGUACCUUGUAGAAAAGCAUAGUUGAUGUGGAGCUGGUGAACCGGCCAGUCUUGAAUGAUGUUGAUAGAAAGGACGGUCUGAACUAUGUGUGGUUUGACGACGGGACUAAAAGUUUCGCUGUAGUCGACGCCUACGCGUUGGGUGAAGCCGCGGAGGACCCACCAUGCUUUGUGGCGAUCGAGGGAGCCAUGUUUCCUAAGCUUCUGCCAAAAUAUCCACGUGCCAGAAACGACAUUGUUACCGAGCGGACGGGGUACAAAAUCCAUGGUCCAAUUUUCUUGCAGGGUACUGAAUUCGUCCAGCAUAGCAGUGUGCCAGUGACUAUCUUUUGGAGUGCUCUGGUAGCGGACUAAGGACAUCAACAAGAAUAUUAGGGUGAUCAACGGGUACCAAGCCACCCUUUCCACGGUUAAACAUGGAUAGUGGGUGUUGUCGGCGAGUGGAGGAGCUAAAACCACAAGCGGAAUUGGAGGUGUGGCCGGAGGAGUGGGAGGGUAGGUGGCUCAGGUGUAGGAGGCUUGCAUGGCUCAGGUGGAUGAGGGGUGAUUGACACUAGUGCCGGAGAUGGGUUAAUUUGCGAUGGAAGAAUGACAGGAUGUUCGUCUAUGAAGGAAAGAUCGGUGGCUAUGGGGGGUGGUGCGGAUUGUGUGGCAAAAGGGAAGGUAUUCUUGUCGAAAACAACAUGGCGAGAGAUGAUGCUUUUAUGUGUGGUGAUGUCAAUACAACGUAUCCACGAUGGCUAGAGGGGUACCCGACGAAGGCACACCAUGUCGUGCGUGGAGCCAGUUUGUGUGGUGCUGUAGCGGUUAGGUUAGGAUAGCAAAGACAAUGAAAAAUGUGCAAAUGCUCGAGGGGGGAGGAAGGUCGCGAAGAGCCUCAUAAGGUGCACAAUAUUGUAGGGUUUUUGUUGCGUGAAGGUUGAAGAGGGAAGUGGCAGUGUGAAGGGCUUCAACCCAAUAGGCUUGUAGUAGGUUGGCUUGGAAAAGAAGGGAAUAUAACAUGUUAUUUGUGGAGCGGAUGACACAUUCGGCUUUGGGAGAGGUGUAUGGGCAAGACAUGCGAAGGGUGGCACCAAGUGAUAGGAGAACUUGACGACAACAAUAUUUUCAAAUUCACGGCCAUUGUCACAUUGUAUGGAUUGGAUGGUUGUAUGAAAUUGAGUAGAGACAUAGGCAAAUAAGUGUUUGAGUGUAGCGAAAGUGUCAGAUUUUAGGCGUAAUGGAGAAGUCCACAUGUAGUGGGUAAAAUCAUCUAACACGACUAGGUAGUAUUUGUAACCAGACACACUAGGAAGAGGUACAGUCCACAAAUCACAGUGAUGAGUUGAAAAGCACAAGUUGUGUGAGUAAAUGAUGUAUCAAAUGGAAGGCGAACAUGUUUUUCUAAUUAACAAGCAUGUCAUAAAUGAUCAUCGGCAAUAUUUUUCUUACAAGGAAAGAAAAACAUGUGCUAGGUGCGUCAAAGCUUGACUGCUGAGAUGGCCUAGACGAGGAUGCAACAAUGAUGAUGAUGACGUGGCGGUGGGGAGAGUAUGCGCAGGGGAAGAAAGCCAACAAAAAGGACAGAAGUCGCUGGAACUAUUGCACCUGACAAUCUCAUUCUUGGUACGGAGGUCCUUCAUAGAGAGACCAAAAGGGUCAAACUCAAUAGAGACAAGAUUAUCAGUGGUGAGCUUACGUAUGGAAAUAAGAUUAUUUUACUAGGUCAGGUGUAACUAGAAACAUUAUUUAAGAGAGAAAGAAUGAUUAUGAGUAGAGAGGGUGGUGUGACCGGUGCAUGUGAUGACCAUUGCUGAUGACAUGAGGAUAACAGGAGUUAGAGGGGAGGAGGUGUGAAAGGUUACCCUAAUUACGUGUAAUGUCAGCGGAAGCACAUGAGUACAUGUACCAUUCAUUUUGAAGAUGGUGGUGUCAGGGACACGGUGUUGAAGGCCUGCAUGAGUGAUCCUUGGUCGAAGGACGGAGGCUGAGCAUCAUGUGUCGGUGCAGAUAGUGGAGUGGACUGCGGCGCUCUGGGCGGCCAUGAUAUAGGUGGCGUAGGCAUUCCCGUUGACCACGGCAUUGGCAAGGGGGCACCAUAGGGUAGGGGCAGGGAGCAUGGCAUGAUGUGCCUAUGCCGGGCCAAGAAGGGACGGUCGCUGAGGCUAACCUGGCCACAUCUGGAUGGACCCCACCCAAGUGUUUUGCAUGGAUGGGCAUGGUGCCUCCGAGCCCUUCCCUCGUGUGUUGGUGUUGCGGCCUUGCUGCUGGGAAGGUCCAGAGUGUAGGUAGCUAGUGGCAGCAUGCGCCAAAUCGGCAACUCCCAUGUUGGAAAUUGCGGCAUGCGUCAAGGCAAUGCGGAGGCGACAUGGUAGCUGCGGGUCCGCGUGGUUUGGGAGGCGUGGAGAUGCCUUGGGUGACGAAGGCAGUCGAAGUCGAGUAGGAGGACUCAGACUGCUACAGUGUGAGCUCCUCGAGCAGAAGAGACGAGCAGUACAUCAAGGAAUCAAGGAACUCCGGGAGAGAGAGAGAGCUGUUUGACGGUCAACGUGCUCAUGUAGGCAAGUCAUCAUCCGAGGCUGCAGAGCACAUUUCGAACGAGACGCUUGUUGGUGAUGGUUGCUCCCAGCGUGUUAGGUUCGUCGAUGAGGAUCUUUAGCUUGCGGUAGUAGCCAUCCACGGUCAUGGUGCCUCAUUGGAGACCAUGGAACUGUUGCUCGAGGUAGGAAGAGCGAGACUUGGAGUUGUCAUUGGUAGAUGUUGGAGAGACGUGUCCAAAACAAGUGGGCGGGGAGCAGCGUGGUGGUGUCGACAAUAAUGGUGAGAUACUCGGGCGUGACGGUGCUGCUGAUACAUGAACUGACGAUGGCGUCGUUGCAACCACAGUGCGGCAUCGGAUCGAGGUGGAGUGGGAGGGGUAUUCGUUCUCAAGUAGAUGAUCCUCGAGGGCGUACUUCUGAACGGCAUCGGAGAACAUGCCGUACCAUUGGAGACAGUUCAAGGUGGAGAGCUCGAGGGGUGACCGGAACGACGGCGCGGAUGCUUGGGAGCGCGGCGGCGAGGGCCCAGAGAGCAGCCUUGGCAUUGGCCUCGGCGAGGGCGGCGGCUGCGGCGUGGCCGCCUCUUGGGCUGCGAUCUAUUGGGAGCAAUGGCGAAUCUACAAAAAAAUGGAGGGGGGCUGGGCUGCCUGGGUCAUGCAAAUAUGUGUUGGACUGGGCCUGCAAGUACCCGGGCUGGGCCUUAAAACAUCUUCUCAAGUGAAGAUUUGGAAGUAAACGAAACACACUAUGAUACACAUCCUCCUUGAUUUGGAAGUAAACGAAACACACUACCAACAAUUCCACCUUUCACUCCGAUAGUGGAGCCGGGGUUUCCACCUCACACUCUCGGUGUCGUCAACCAAUGUCAAAGGGGUCGGGCUCGGUGAGCCCUGUCAUCUUUCUCUCUGGCACAUGCGAUCUUUGGUGCGUUAUGCCAGGAGUCCAACCCUCUUCCCCGAACAGCUACCGCUUUGUCCCUUACAUCCCACCCUUGCCUCACUUUUAAGGUCAUCUCCAAUGCUGACCGUAAAUGGACACGGCAAAUGUCCAUUUGUAUGUCCGGAUGUGGUACACGGACAUGAUACGGGAGGGAGCCAUCCAAUGCUAUUCACAAAAUAAUUUGGCUAGGAAAAGAGAAAGUAGAUGAGGAUCACGCAUGUGGUGGGAUAUUGUGGUGUGAUGUCCGGUUGGGAUGAGAGAUAGGAGAGGGGACCAUGCAUGUGCAUGGCUAGACUCCCGCAAAGCUCCCCCAUGCUUGUCUCGGAUUUGCCAACAAUCGGACGUCCGGACCACUUUACGAAUCGAUAGAAGGUCUCAGUUGGAUGAUAAAAGUUGAUACAAAUGAUCUGGACACCAUAAUUCAAACAUAUAUUGAAGUUCUGAAGGUCUUCUUUGGAGAUGCCGAAACUACUAAUUGCGUUGUCUCGCUAGUAUACAAAUCUCAAUUUCUGCAAACAUGCAGUUCGUUUGGGCAAAUAUGUGUAGUGUAAUUGCAAGCUCGCAUAGGCGACAUUCGUAACUAUGAUUUGGAUUCUUAACCAAAAGUUUUCAGCAUGAACAUGGAAAACCCAUAUAUCUUAGAGUGUAGUGUAAUCGCAAGCUCGCAUAGGCGACAUUCGUAACUAUGAUUUGGAUUCUUAACCAAAAGGUUUCAGCAUGAACAUGGAAAACCCAUAUAUCUUAGAGUGUGUUCAUGUUCAUGAGGUUUCUACUUCUUUUGUUUGCGAAGUUUGCCUCCUAAUGAAAAUAAAGGCCGACUUGUAUUCCAAGGUUGAUUUUUUGAGCACCCAUGCAGGUACACCACCUUAUCUAGACCAUUAAGUUCUGCAUCAAGAUCCAUGCUAUCUCUAUAUAGAAUUUUCUCCUUUUUGUUACUCCAAUACAAGAGAACAUUUGACCUUAAGCCUUGCAGAUCAAGGUCACACAAGUACCACUCUGUGCACAAAUGUUUCAGAUUUUUUUUGUGCACCAUAAAUUUCUCAAAUUAUAUAUUUAGAGAAAGUUCUAUCAUUUUAGAUAUUUCUCUUACACCAAAAAAAAAUCCGAAACAAUUCCUGCACGUGGUAGACGUUUACCUACAAAGUUUUAAGUUCAGAUGUUUUCUUGUUUGGGACAAACAAAAUAGAUAAGUUUGUACUCCCUCCGUUCCUAAAUAUAAUCCCUUUUAGACAUUUCAAUAUGAACUACAUACGGAGCAAAAUGACUGAAUCUACACUCUAAAAUACCUUUAUAUGCAUUUGUAUAUAGUCCAUAUUGAAAUCUCUAAAAAGGCUUAUAUUUAGAAACGGUGGGAGUAGGUAUGAACUUUGAUCAAGUAUUGGAUGGUCUAGAUAAGAGGUGCACCUGCUGGGAAUUCAACCACAACUUUUCCAUACCCUUCUUCUGAAUUGCUGCCACAUGCAUAUAGCCAAACUAUUACUCCUUGUAUGCCAAGUUAUAAUUCAUCUUAGUUUUGUUUUACCCUUUUUGCAUUAUUAUAGUGCGUAUUAAGAAAUUGACAAGCCAAUGCAUUGAUGAACAUUUAUGACCAGCUGCUUCACGAGUCAAUGCAUGAAGCAUAAACAACCCUUCUUAAUUCCUUCCUCCUUAGCAAGGAAUUCUGAUAGUGCUUGUGUUGGCAUGUUUUAUUUGAGACUUCUGGGUCAUUUAUCGUGGAAGAAAAGAAAGACUCAUGGAUCAUCCCGCGCGACUGGAGUCAUUGGCCACGUCCCACGCGCGCGCGCGGGUGUGUGUGUGUGUGUGUGUGUGUGUGUGUGUGUGUGUGUGUGAGAGAGAGAGAGAGAGAGAGAGAGAGAGGCAGAAAUAAAAAAAUCCCCAUAUGAUUGCUUGGAUAUGAGGGAACUGCAAAAGCAACUAAUGCAAUAACCAAAAUGUUAUAUUGGGACAUGUUAAUAAGAUCUUAUUAGGAAUGCAUUAUUUUGGGACUAUAGAAGUUGAAGAUGCUCUAUCCGAGGGAGUAACACAUAACUCAUAUGGAGAGGGGAUUUGUGGCACGUAGGGGCGGGCCCACUGAGUCCAUUUAUCUUUGGGCUUUCACAUUUGAAUCUUUUGUUUCUUUUGAACCGAAAGUCCAAAUUAAGUUCUGUUUUCAUAUUUGUAUAUUCUUGUGACAAGAGCUUUGAAAGAUCCAUUUUGAAUAACAUUUGUAUAUUCUUGUGACAAGAGCUUUGAAAGAUCCAUUUUGAAUACAUUUUGAUGAGUUUUUAAAACUUUGCUAAGUUCAACUGCUAAAAUUUAAUAGGAAUGAACGAUAAAAUCACUAACUUUUUUUUCAAAAGAAGGGAAUAUCCUUGACCACUGCAUCAAGUGAUGCAUACACUAAUUAUUGCAAAGUUCAUCAUCAGGUGUUGGACUCUAUAUACUUGUGAAAACUUAUACUCGUGUUUCUUUUACCUAAGGGGUCAUCCAUUUGUCUUGUUGGGUCAGGUGGACUUUGGUUAUACCUGUUUGGAAGGAAGGGUCUGUAGGAGAUCGGAAGGUAUAUGCACAUGCCUUGGCGUUCUUGAACAACAUGAUGUGGACACUGUAUGCCUCAACGGAUCUCCCCAGCAAACUCUUGCUCUUCAUUGUCAGUGUUAUGGGAAUUGUCCUUCAUGCUUUCUACACCAACUUCUACAUCUACUUUGCGGAAGGAAAGAACCGUGUGCAAGCCAUGUUCAUUUUACUCGCAUUCUGCGCCGUGGCCUUCAUAAUGGCAGUAUUAGUUGGUUGGAAGGUGCUCAUCACUCAAAUGUGGAGUGGCACUUUUAUCAAUGUCAUGGCCUCAAUAUCUGGAGCAUCUACACAAGUUGUUCCUGCAAUUAACAUGGUAGGUGUUGCCGGCAGCUGGUGAAGUGUAUUGCACUGACAUACAUGAUUUAUCCAUAUAUCAUUUCUUUGUUCGUUGAUCGAUUGAAACCGAUCAAUCUUGUACCGCAGGUGAUAUUUGUCAUGAAGGGCAAGCAGGUUGACAACAUGGACCCGAUAAUCACGGCCGUCAUCUCCCUCUUGAAUGCAUGUACUUGGACCCCCUAUGGCUUCAUGUCCGUCCAGGUCAACCUUUAUGUCGUGGUAAGUAAUAUUUAUCCAUGGUGCGAUCAAUCCUGUUCAUUGUAGGUCUACGCGCGCGCGCGCCCACACACACACACACACACAGAGAGAGAGAGAGAGAGAGAGAGAGAGACGUUCCCAAUGUAAAUGGACUGCUGUUGUGAUCUACUCAGAGCAAGUACAAUAGUAGGUUUACAGCCCGCUUACAUGACAAUUUUUCCUAGGUGAAGGAGAGACAUGAAAAAAUAAGGAGGAUGGGCUCUCAGAGCCAGUACAAUAAGAUGAUGUAGACGGGCUGUAAGACUUUAAAUAUUAUAUUUUUACUUAGUUGGUAGAGAGAGAAGAUGAGAGAGAAGAAAAGCAGGCUACAAACUAAUAACUGGCUGCAUCACGUGCUCAUAGAAACUUUGUGAGAGAGCGAUUUGGGUCAUGUAUCUAUAAAGUAGUACUAGUUUACAUAUAACAAUUAUACUUGUGAGCUAUAAGUUUGACUAUAAAUGACGUGGCAACAUUAUAUACCCAGCAUGUACUAUUAUCCAUGCCCUCAUGCAAUUCUUAGAGUGACACAAUAAAUAUGAAGAAAGAGAUAGAGAGAAGAUGAGAAAAAGUAGUACUCUUGUAACCAAUCUUAAAGCUAACCUUAAGUGGCUAUAUAUGACAUGACAACACCAUAUAUCCAACAGUUGGCCUCUCAACUAGCCCUGUGGGACCCGCACAAAUGUGUGCCAGAUUUGUUACACACCUGUGUUUCUCUUUAUGUUUUAUAUUAGCGUUUAGAUGUAGAUAAAUCAUUCGGUAGUACAUAAAUCAAAAAGCUCUUCCCUAAGAAAAAGGAAAAUAUAUCGAGGAACUCAGCCAAAAUUUAUGUAAAAAUAUUUAGUUGGUAUUGUUUCCUACAUUAUGUCUGAUUUAAUUUGAUGCUACGUUAGCAUUGAUAUAUCUAUCAUUCAUAGCAUUUUUGCUGAUGUGUCGAUAAAAAACUAUUGAAUGUCGGUGGAAAUCAUUUCACUAAGGGGUAGUGUUUGGAUUCGAAAAUUCCAUUACCGAGAUUAGCUAUUUAAAUGAUUUUUGUUUGAACCAAAUAUUGAAGCACAUAAAUAAAUAAAUUAUCAGUUGUGCUAGCCCUACAUGCAUUAGGAUGUUCGUCAGUACUGCCAAAUAUUAAGUUCCGUUGAAAGAUUUCCCAAACUUAGUUAUUCUUUGGCGUCACAUGAGUUUAUAUGAAAACCAAAUUUUUGGUUUCCUUCUAAUUUUAUUUGAAAUUCAGAUAUAAAUUUGAAUCGUAUUGUUUUCCUGUUACACUAUUUAACCGCCCAGGUAUGCAUUAUGGACUUGUAUAAAAAGUUAAAGUAUCUACAUUGCUAUAUUAUAGACCAACCACGAUCAAGUGAUGUAUAUAUUUUAGAAUACAUGGAAAAAAUAGUGACCUAAGUAUUUCUGUAUGUGAUUCAUCUUAUCUUGUUGUCUCUCAGUUAAAGGGGAUAUAGUUUAACUACUUAGAUUAUGUUGUUGUCACGCACUGUAACACAUACGAUGUUUAGGUCACCAGUUGCAACACCACGAUGUUGUGGUCACCAGUUGCAACACGACGAUGUCAUGGUUAGUUCUGUGUAAUGGAAGAUGUGUCACUUUUGGUGCACUUGCAGUUUGUAUGUGUUCCAUAUCCAAGCUUUUCUAAAUGAGUGAGAGCCUAGGUAAGGCGACCGCCCAUGCCUCCCGCCCCCUUGCCAGAAGGUUGUCAGAAUCAUGAUUCUAAAUUGGAUCGGAGCUUCGAUGUCAGGAUCACAAAUCGUAGAAUCUUAACUGUCAGGAUUGUAGAAACGUAGAUUCUAUAGACCAAAUCAUGAUUCUGAGUGGCUAGUUUGAAUCGAAAAGUCAUAGAAUGACACAUCAGAAUCACGAUUGUAACAACAUGUGCUACCCUACCACAACCACCACCCCGGCCACCCCGCGGUCAGAGCUUCCACCUUCCUACUUCCACCCGAUGAGGUUUGCCCGCCACGGUCCAUGUAGUUUCUCUUGAUGAAGAAGUGGCUCAUUCUCGGGUCAACAAUGCUAGCUUAAGGUGCAGAUUUAGACCAUGCGGGUACACCAACGUCGAUCACCCUUGCGCGUCCUUCUCCAGCAUCUGCAUGCUCCAAUGUGGAGCCCUACCCCUACUUUGGAGAUGUUGUAUACCCUCCCCUCCCCGUACAUGAUGAGGCCAUUGCUGUUAAUGCAGGGGUUCAUCAAGUCUCCACCGUUACUAUUCCUCCCCACUACGAGCAUUCUAGCGGAGUCACCUCGCGCUGCAUCGCCAUGCCAUCGGCGACAACAACCUAGCUACUCGAAUAAUUCCCUUGCACAAGGGGCAAAUGCGUGCAAGACUACACUUCAACAAAAAGCACACAAUUGGAAAGUGUUGCUGCUACCUCAAUCCGCUAUCAUCCAUUCAUCGCAUCUGCUUAUCGAGACUCGAUGUGUAGCCUUGCCUGCACACCACAAGCAUAAAUUGCCAUAGCCGUCAGUUCGUCUAGCCCCACCCCCAUGACGCCCACUAGACAGCCAUCUUCACCCUAUGCUUCUUAUUUUUGCUCAUGGGAGGACCUUGCUGUCUCCCCUCCAUGCUCCCGCCAACACCACUGUAUGUGAUGUCUCUACUCAGCAUCGAAGGCCCUAGCUACCGCAUGGAGGAGGACACCGUCAUCAUCCUCAUAUCCAUCGACCGUGACAGUGUGAUGCUAGAUUAGAAGAAAAUCGCUGCCAUUACCUAGUUAGUGAAUGCUACAUGUAGCAUGGAUCCAAUCAUCAUUUACCGCUCCACCCAACGGGAUUUUCCCCUCAAAAAGAAGGAUGUGGUUGUCUCCCCUCAACACCCCGUCGAAUUUCUGCUGAAAUUCAUGUGCAAGACCCACUACAACGUGGUUUUUUGUGCUGGGUAUGUCAAGGUAGACGACAUGUUCUUGUAGAUUUGGUCAUGCAUCCACUAAUGCACGCCAUCGGCAUAGCCCCGCUCUAUAGUGUAAACUUGUGCGUAGGAGGGGUUCCCAGCCACGUGUGGUCACCAUAAGUGGUAGAGCGCAUCAUAGAUCUUCGGUCUACUCUUGACCCCCUUGAUAACCAUUCCGCGUUCAAGAAAUCCGCUGAGACCCUUCUCCAGGCAUUACUUACAACAUGAAUCACACCCCAAAGAUGAUUUGGCUAACAAUCACUGCCAAGAUGGUAGUUGGCCACAUUGUUGAUCAAGUCUUUGUCUCCGAGGUGCUUAUGACGGGUUGCAAGCCGUUCGGAAGACUACUGCAACACUCUGCUAGACUGCUACACAUAGGGCAUCGACGACGACAAGUGCUAGUUUCCCACUAUCUCCUUUGACAUCCGACUAUGCUCCGUGAACAACAACCCCCCAUUAGCUAGGGUGGACAAUGUAGAUGGCACAUCAGGGGCUGACAAUGAUCUUUGUUGCGGGUGUGAUACUAACAACCACCUGUUGCUGAUGCCCUAACAUCAGGACUAUCGAGAUGAAGACGAUGAGGACCAGCUAGAGGACGACCAUGGAGAACCCAACCACUGUGCCAGUGAUGGGGACCGAGGGAGCACACACAUUUUCCUCAGCGGUGCUCGAUGCGAGUGACAUCCAUGGAAGGCCUUGGUCAUCCUUGUUGCACUCUUCAUCUACCUCGCAGAUCAUAAAGGCCAUAACGCUGCUCCCAUACCCGUCUUCAGCCAUUUGUACUUAGGGCUAGCUCAAUGUGUCUCCGCAACGGAUGCCAACCUCAAGAUCACCCUUGAGAUGAAGGACAACCGGGGCAAUCUUGUGUUGCCUCUCAAGGAGGAUACAAUAAUGUUGUGGCAGUCGAUGUUGCGCUCUACUUCCUUUGUGCCUCAUGUAAAGUCCAUCAUUGCAGGGAUGGGCAUCUUCUUGCUUAUGUCUUGCACGUGAAUCCACUCUUCGGGGUGCCAGCACGCGCUGGAAGACAACCUGCAUGGUAUGGCAGCCCUGGAGCCUCUGUUGGGCCACAUCUCCAACAUUGUUGAUGAUGGAACAUCUACAGCCUUGGCCAAUAAGAGGUACCACAUAGUUGGAAUGUGCAAUGUCCAUAGAUUGAGCCUCAUAAAUGAGCCACUUGUCAUGGUUCUGGCCCAUGUGUUGGUUACGAUCCACGGCUCUGAUAUGCUAGUUGCUUUGGCCAUGCACAACGGGAAUGAAGCCUAGGCUUCCACCGCGCUCACUAGUCUACCCUCGACCACAAUAGAUACAACAUUUGGCUUUGUUGCCUCCCUUACCUCACAGUCUUUGAAGCUCGUGGCAGGGGACCUGCCACCCGCAUCACCAAAUUUCCUAAAUCUCCAACGAUGUUGUACCUGAGUGUUUGCCGGCCAUCAUUUCCAUCAUCACCAGUUUCCUAACUUUUGUGCCGGUAAAAGAUUUCUUCCUCCUCUCUCUUUUUUUCCUCCUCUCUCUUUUUUUCCUCUACUUAGACCAGCAGAACGAUUCGUUUUCUUCCUCCUCUCUCUUUUUUUCCUCUACUCUUUGGUGGCUAGUCCUAUUUAUAGAGGGAGACCCUGGGCCUCUUCCCAAAUAAUAAGCCGGAAGGGCGCCAACAAUUGGCCAUUUUGAAGGGGAACAUCUAGUACACUUAUCCUGACUAAAGUUGGUGUUCGGCUGCCAAAGGCUCUGACGAUGACGCCGCCCUGGGCUCCACGAUGACCUACAUCCUGCCGUUUUACUGGUCUUGGUCUUGUUGCACCGAAACGGUAACCUUUGCCUGAUGCCUUGGCCUGUGCUUGCCCCCUUUGCACCGAAGGGGAAACAAGGACACUGCGCAAGCCGGCGCCUGCCUGGUGCCCACCUGGUCUCAAUCGUCAUGGCUUGCGUCACGGGCUCCUCGCGAGGUGCCCUUGCCUUGAUCUCUCCGCCUUCUCGCGAUCCUGCCUGAUGAGGCUGCUCCUGAGGAAGCUUCAUGUCGUCCGCCCCGUGAGGCUUGGCCCCUCGCGAGGGUCUUGAGAUUGAGCUGAUGAAGCUGGGCUGCACUGGGCCCCCACUUGAGCCACGCCGCAGGCCGCAGGCAGGCAAGUCUGGGGACCCCCGUUCCCAGAACGCCGACAGUAGCCCCCGGGCCCAAGGCGCACCCGGACUUGGCUUAGCAGAGAAGCGAAGGGGCAAGUGCGAAGCGCCGCGAGCCCCAAUAGCCUACGGCCUUGGGCGCCGCAUGGCGGUUGAUUGGACGUGGGCAUCUUCGCUUCCCCACGACGCCUCGGCAACCGCAUGACUUGAUAAGUCCCUGCAUGCAAAAAUAGGUCAUGAUUACCUGCGAUCGUGGAGGCCGACGAUUGUCCUCCUCCAGCUAUAUGUAUGGAACGGCGCGAGCCCUUCCAGUCCAUCUCUCCCUGCUACUCCUUCCUCUCCAUCUUCCUCGCCCUUGCUCCACAUUACGCCAAUAGCGCCAAUCCGCCGGUUUUCUGCAGAAGAGAAGGGAAAGGCCCCCCGGGAGGGUCCCGAUCCGCUUCCGCCGAAGAAGCGGCCUGUCCCCGGCCGCUGCGGCGUGGUCGCAUGGCAGGAGACGUCGCGGCCCUGGUACGAGCGGCCGCCGCCUGGGUUUCCGCUGCCCUUGUACGCCCGCAUCGAGGGCCCUGGAGAAGAAGGCGCCGAGCGACACCGGCGGUGCCGCCGUCGAUGCCGACGGGUUACGGCGGUGCGCGUCAUUCCUCCUGGAGUCCAUGUUGAGGGCUUCUCUCGCGAGCUUGUGCUCCAUGCCGCCAUGCCUCCUCGAUCUUGGAUUCGCCUUCCUCCUUCCUUCUCCCUCGAGAUGCCGCCUAGUGGGUCUCUGGAGCUCUGGCUGCAGUAUGCUGACUGCAGCACCCUUGCGACCGGAGCGGAGGUCGCGGUCGUCGCUCCGGGCAAGGUCUACAUGACCCGUGGCUGGGGUGAGAUCGCCCGGGUCUGCCGGACAGGGGGCGCCCUCAUAAUCCAUCUUGAAUACGAUUGUUCCUCCUUGAUGUUCUUCAAGGUUUUCGAUGCGGAAGGACGCCGACUAGAAUGCUGCCCCAAGAAAGGCGGUCGAGGCGUCGUCGUGGCGAGGACCAGGCCAGCCAACCGCUUCCCCAGCAGCUCCUCAGGCAGCAGCGGAGGUGCCGGAGGGUCCAGCAACUCCGCCGAGCUUCACGCGACUCCGGAGACGAGCGACGAUAGCUACGAUCCCCCGAGCUCGCGUAACGCUCGGAGCAGGGCGGGUGCUUCAGGCCGCCGGCGCUGCUGAUCUGGAUUGGCGCCGGCGCCUGAUGGCCAACUGUUGAUGAUGGCGUCUCCUACGGAGGUGCACGUAGUUAGCGUUCCUUAGGAUUAGCACCUUUUGUUCCCUGCGAGGAAUCGAAGUACCACCCCGCGGGGGUAUGUAAGGCGCCGGCCAUGUCUUUUGUGAAUAUUUUAUCCUUAUUAUGAAUUGAUGCGAGAUGCUUGUCCUGUCCCGGCUCGGCUCCCCCUUUCUUUCCUCACGAGGGCUUGGUGCUCUAUGCUAACAGGUCCCGGUCCCCAGGUAGGCUUCAGCCAUCGCUGGUAUGCCAGGUCGCGAUGCCGUGGUCAAGGCCAGGAGGUGAGCGGCCCAAAGUUCAGUAAGAGCCCCUGAGUCGCGAUGCUCAGGAGGUCCCCUUUAGCGCUCAAGCAGCCACCGCUGGGCAAGAAAGGCAGACAAUGUUGCCAUGAUAGAGCUGCACUAGGCGAGGGUUUAGCGCUGAGUCGAAUCAGUUUUCGCGUGACUUAUCUCAUGGGUUUGGCGUAGUUUUCGUCGAGGUGCCGGGCCUGCGCGGCGGCAGCUGGGGAGCUGCUGGGUUAGGUCCCCGUGAGCUUCUUCCCUCUCCCGUGCGCUUUCCUUGAUGCUCUACGUCCUCAGGUCCCGGCCCUCGAGCGAGCUCAGCCGCCGCUGGUAUGACAGGUCGCGAUGCCGUGGGUCAAGGUCAGGAGGUGAGGGCUGGAGAGCCAGUAAGAGCCCAUGAGUCGCGAUGCUCAGGCGCCCCCCUUUUAACGUGCAAACGAAUCGUGCCGGAGAGAAGGAGAGAAAGCUCGCGACGUCCCCAGCGUUACUUCUGGAGCGGGUCCUGCAUACCAAUCACGAGGGGAAACAAGGUCUGUUGUUACGGUUGCCAGCCAACCAUUGGUCGCUCCGAGGGAGUGAUUGGGGCACUGAGAGCCUGGUGAGGUGGCGCCUUGCGGGGCUGCCGCGGCCAGAGCUCGACCACUCAGUUUUGUCGGUGUUGCAAGGAUGGACCCGUGCGCAAGUGCCGUGCCAGAGCGAGCGGCUCCAAAGGUGGGUGUCAAUCGAGCAGGCGAUUAGGUCAAGCAUGUUAAGCACGAAGGAGCAAAUCCAUUUAGAUAGAUGCGGAAAAGGCAAACGGCACUGGGUCAGGCCCGAGCAGCUUGGGGAUAAUGCAGCCCGAUGGGCGCCCCCAACAAGGUAGGUAAAGAGCAUAAGCAAAAUGGAUACAUGCCGCAGGGACGGACCCACAUGACCUAGGAAUGAUGCAGCCCUGCGGGUGCUCCCAGCUGAAAACGAAACUUGAAAUAUGCCACCUGAUACCGUUGGAGAUGAAGUGAUGCUGAAGUAGCGGACGACGCGCGGUGAGGACGCCGCCCCUCACGAGCUCCCGGGACCUGGAGCCUCGGGAGGCUCCGGGGGCACGGGUGGAUCUUCGAGGGCCAUCUCCAUCUCCGCCAGGACCGCGCGAUGCCUAACCUUCUGAGCCUCCAGAAUGCUCCUCAGCAGGCCUUGACGAGCGGCGGCCGUGUUCGGCAGGCCGAAAGGCAUGCAAACGUAGCUGUGAGGUGGACCCUCACAACGCCCCACGCGUGAAGGCCAGAGGCGCUCCUGAGACGCGGCUCGGUUGAGCCCUGGUACGUCGAUGCAAACGCACAGCCCAGCAUCCUCGCCUGGAUGUGGGGCCACAGCGGGCAAGCGGCGGCUGCCGUGCAUGACCCUUGACUCCUGUAGCUCCUGAGUGUUCCUCGCGAUGAACUCCUGAGGGUUUGCCCCUCCUUGCUUCAUACCUUCCUGAGGGAAACGUGCCUUGAAGCACGCCUCCAAGUGAUGCCCGAGCACCUCCCUCGUAACCUUGACAAAGUCGGUGGCUCUCCCAGAAAGAGCCCCCAAGCCCUGCCCAAGGAGGACGCCGGGCGCACCUUCCUAUGCGACAGAGGGUGGCGCCCCUUGGACUGGCGCGGAUCCUGACACAACGCCUCUGGAGGUGCCCGCCUCUUGAGGAUUUGGGCCAGGUGAAGCCUUCUUCUUCUUAGGGACUGCCUCGGGAAGUCUCCCGCUCUUGUGAUCUGGGUCUUCGAUUGCCGCGGCUUGGAAGGCACGCUCAAGAGAACACACUACAUCCCUUUCCUCACAGGGCACUGUGAUGACUCCACCGCUUCCUGGCAUCUUGAGGACGUUGUAGCCAUGGUGAGUCACUACCAUGAACUUGGCCAGGGCUGGGUACCUGAGGAUGGCAUUGUAUGGCAGGCGAAUGUGGGCGACGUCGAAGUCAAUGAGCUCGGUGCGGUAGUUGAUGCGCUGCCCGAAGGUGACUGGAAGGCGAACCUGCCUUAUCGGAACAGUGGAACCAUCGGUGACUCCUGAGAAAGGCUUGGUUGGCUGAAGCUGAUCAUAUGGCACUUGGAGGUUGUUGAAUGUCUCGACGGACAAGACGUUGAGUCCCGCCCCGCCAUCGAUGAGGGUCCUGGUGACUUGCACAUUGCUGAUGACUGGGGAACAGAGCAUUAGGAGGACUCCGGCCGUUGCCGCGCACUUGAGUUGAUUCGCUGAGCUGAACGUGAUAGCGCACGCAGACCACCUGAGAGGGCGUGUGGCCUCAAGCUUGGGGAGGACUGCAUUCACCUCGCGAGCAAACUGCUUGAAGAUGCGCCGAGAGGCUGGGGCCUGAGCGCCGCCCAGGAUGCAAGCGAUUGUGCGCGGCUCCUGGAAGCCCCCAGCCCCCUCGUCCUGAUGAUGGUCUUCAUUCCUCCUCGGCGGUGGUGGCAGAGGAGGGAGGCCUGCGUUGCCUUGAGGGCGGUCCUCACGAGGUUGAUCCCUCCAACCUCCCUCGCGAGGCUGGUCUUGCCAGCGGUCCUCGCGAGGUCGGUCACGCCACGUCCUUGGCGAGGGCCACGGUCUUCCCAUCGUCCUCCGCCUCUUCCUCCUCCUCGGCCAUAGCCCCGGUCGUUGCGCUCGGGGCGUCAGCCGAUACGCCCAUCUCGCACAGCUCUGAGCUCUUGGCAUUCGUUGGUGUUGUGGGUGUGGAGGUCGUGGUACACGCAGUACCGGCUGCCCUUGGAUGAAUCAGGCUGAUCCCUGCCUCGCUUGGUGUCUGGCUCCGCUGCGAGCACAGCAGCUCCCUUACGCUUCACGUCCUUGACCUUGGGCUUCUUCUCUUCUGGAUCGGUAGCCGGAAGCUCGAGGAGGGAGAGGCGCCCUUCCUCAGCCCUGGCGCACUUGGCCGCCAAGUUGAACAGCUCCAGGGAUGUGCACAGGUCUUCGUGGAUUGCUAGUUCCUCUUUCAUCUUGAUGUCGUGCACGCCAUCGGAGAAGGCUGAGAUGAUGGCUGCCUCAGUCACCCUCGGGAUCUUGAGGCAAGCGUUGUUGAAGCGCUGGAUGUACUUCUGCAGGAUCUCUCCUGGCUGUUGCUUGAUGCGGCGCAGGUCACUCAUGGCCGGGGGCCGGUCGCGUGUGUCUUGGAAGUUGGCGAUGAAGCGGGUGCGCAUCUCGUCCCAGGAGGAGAUCGUGCCAGGAGCCAGGUUCAGGAGCCAGAUGCGGGCAUCGUCCUUGAGCGCCAUGGGAAACCAGUUCACCAUGAACUUUUCGUCCCCGCUGGCCCAGCUCGUAGAGCUGGAGGAACUCCGCGGGGUCUGCAGUGCCGUCGUAGCGAGGAGGCAGGUCCGGCUUGAACUUGUCGGGCCAUGCGAUGCUACGCAGCUCGGCGGUGAAGGCGUGGCAGCCUGUAGUGGCCACCGGAGCUCUCUGCUGAUGUGAGGCUUGCUCCUGGGGAUUCCCGCGCACUGUUGCCUGGAGCAACGCGGGGUCUUGACGUGAUGGCGCAGGGAUGCGAUCAUGGCGCACCGGUGCUGGGAGCACGCGGGCACCUUCUUGGGGACGAGGGAUUUCUUGACAACUCCUUUCUUGUCGAGCAGGCGCCUGACGCGGUGGGUCUCGUCCUGGGGCCGCGCGUCUUGGAGCCAGGGCGCCUUCUUGGGAAGGAGGCGGCGGAGGCACCUCCUGAUCCUCGCCUCCUGCGCCGGAUGGAGGGCGAGGCAGCGAGAGGAUGGCAUUGGAGAGCCCCCUGCGGCGCUGACGAGCUCGGCGAUGCGGGCGAGCCAGUCCUCGUAGAGGUCGUCGACGGGACGGCAGUGCAGGAGCUCACGCGCCAGGAGCAGCGCAGCAUGCGCGUCCGUGGGGGCGCGACGGGCGUGGGAUGACGAACAGGCAGGAGUCAGCGACGGGGUGGCGGUGCGGCCUUCCCGCCGCACCGAAGGGUGCAGGGACGAGGCCUGCUGCUCGUUCCCCGUCGGGCCAGUGGCGGCGUUGGCGGCAGGCGACGCGGAACGACGGGGGCGACCGCCGACGGGCGCCGUCCGGGCGACGCGGGUGGCGAGAGCAACCCGACGCUCGGCGUGGGCUCCACGAGCGUCGGCCAUGGACAUGACGGAAGAUCACACGCGACCAGCGGAAGAAACAUUCCGGCGCACCCCUACCUGGUGCGCCAAAUGUCGGAUUUCAGGUUCCGACAGACCCUUGAGGUUCGAACUCUGGGGUACGCACGAAGAUCUUUCCCCUACCAGCUCACGUCUCGAAGUCUCACAAAGGAUCUAGGCUAGAAAGAAGAACACACAAGGGACACGAGAUUUAUACUGGUUCGGGCCACCAUUGUGGUGUAAUACCCUACUCCAGUGUGUGGUGUGGUGGAUUGCCUCAGGGGCUGAUGAUGAACAAUAAAAAGGGAGAACAGCCUCGCGAGGGCUGUUCUUGAGCUGGUGCGAUGAACUGCUUGGGUGAGUUCAGUCGCCUCUCUCUCUCUACGCGUGAUCUCGAUCCUCUCUCUGAACGAUUCGUUUUCUUCCUCCUCUCUCUUUUUUUCCUCUACUCUGUGGUGGCUAGUCCUAUUUAUAAAAGGAGGCCCUGGGCCUCUUCCCAAAUAAUGAGCGGGAAGGGCGCCAAUAAUUGGCCAUUUUGAAGGGGAACAUCUAGUACACUUAUCCUGACUAAAGUUGGUCUUCGGCUGCCAAAGACUCUGACGAUGACGCCGCCCUGGGCUCCACGAUGAUCUCCAUCCUGCCGUUCUACUGGUCUUGGUCUUGUUGCACCGAAACGGUAACCUUUGCAUGAUGCCUUGGCCUGUGCUUGCCCCCUUUGCACCGAAGGGGAAACAAGGAUACUGCGCAGGCCGGCGCCCGCUUGGCGCUCGCCUGGUCUCGAUCAUCAUGCCUUGCGUCACGGGCUCCUCGCGAGGUGCCCUUGCCUUGAUCUCUCCGCCUCCUCGCGAGCCUGCCUGAUGAGGCUACUCCCGAGAAAGCUUCCUGUCGUCCGCCCCGCGAGGCUUGGCCCCUCGCGAGGGUCUUGAACUUGAGCUGAUGAAGCUGGGCUGCACUGGACCCCCACUUGAGCCACGCCGCAAGCAGGCAAGUCUGGGGACCCCCGUACCAGAACACCGACAAUAUCGGGAUGGCAUGCUACUGCAAGGGCGCCAAUGCUGCAAGACCUGCCACUCAUUGCGAUGGUGCAAAUCCCACCACCCGAUGAUGUCAUUGCAAGCCACUUCAUGGGACACAAUACACUAUUUCAACAUCCGGAGCUGGCAGGUUGCUCCAACACAGGACCCGCAACCACACGAUGCUGCAACCCCGAUGUUGCCAAGCUGUAAAACAAGCGUGAGCUGCCACAAGGGAGUGAACACUCGUCACCGCCGGUGUUGCCGCAGGGCAAGACCGGUGUAGUGGUGCUAUAGCCGAUUCAUGGUACUGCAAGGAUCGACCAUGGAUCUCUAUGAGGUCGGUCGAUGAUGCUGGUGCCGCACAGAGCUGAGCCGUGUCAGGGACGCACACGAGGCUAUGUGUGGUGUUAGGAAAAUACACUAGGAUAACCGCUUGGGAGAGGACAUAUGGAGACAAACUUUUGAUCAUAUGGCGUUGCAUGUGGUUGAUGUAAUCGACGGGUGGUGAGCCAACUUAUUUAUACCCCAAAACAAUCAGAUAAGGCCUAGCAGUCAUCAUAAACAUUUUAUCUAAACACUUAAUGGUCCAGAUGCAUGAUUUGACAAUUGCGAAACCGCGCUAAGCGACAAGCCUGCCAUAGAUGACGAAAACCGGUCCCCUUUGACCCUUCGCUCGGCCACUCGCUCAAACCGCGUGCGUGCGGGUGAUGUAAAACAGUUACACUGUAGCACUUUUUGUUUGCUGGCACACACAAUCUCACGUGCCUACACUAUUGCCUACUAGUACUACUAUAUAUUGUAGCACUUAUUGUUUUCUGACACGUAGUGGCAUGUUUAUGUUUGCUUGGGUAAGGAAUACUACUGCUGUCACAACCAGCCUUUCUAGCCAACCACACACAUCGCCACUGCCAUUUUGCUUGGCACCGGUGCUUGCGGCCGUUCACCGCCUAGCAGAAUGACAUCUCGUGCCUACAUUGCUUUCUCAUGUUUAGCUAGAGCUUUGUUGUUGUGUGAAAUGUGUGAAUACUAAUGCAAACUGGAAGGAUGUCGAUGCUGCAAACAGGCUGCAUGGCGCUGUAAGGAUGUUAAACACUCGUCUAGGGAAGCAAUCAAAGUUGCACCUCGACUACUAGGAAGUUGGAUGGCGUAGCCGACUAAGUUUCAAAUCUCAAUGGCAGGGGUAGUUGGGGCUCAGUGCCAGCAGUGAAAUUUGUACAACCAUGUGAGGAAAAAGUUACAUAUUGACUGCUUGGAUGUUCGCUGGGCAGCAGACGAAGUUGCACAUGUCACUAUCAGUGAAGUGGGGGCCUGGUGCGAGAAGUAAAAAUUGCACAUACAUGGAUAGGGGGAAAGUUGCACAUCGACCUCUGGACAAUUGGCCAAGGCGGUAUAUGAAGUUGCAUAUCUCACUAACAAGGGUGGUUGAGGUGGUGAAAAUUGCACACCACGGGUAGGGUGAAAGUUGCACAUUGACAGCUAGGCAGUUUACUGGUGCAAAUAAAAAUGUUACACAUUGUCUGCUAGGCAUUUGGCUGGGCAACAAACGAAGUUGCACAUCCCAUUAGUAGGGGUAACAAACGAAGUUGCACAUCCGUUUUCAGUAUGCAGUGUCUGAAGUUGCACAUCCGAGGGUAGGGGAAAUUGUACAUCGCUGAGGUAGGAGGAAGUUGCACAUCGACUUCUACAGAGUUAGCGAGAGCAACAUCCAAAGUUGCACAUUCACUGCUAGGCAGUUGACAGAGGUAGUAAACGAAGUUAUAGAUCUCACUGGUAGGGUAGUAGGGGUAGGACGCCAAUAGUGAAAAUUGUAAAUCCACAGUGGUAGGCGAAAAUUGCACAACAAAUGCUAGGCAGUUGGUUGGGUUAAUAGCCGAAGUUACACACUGACUAUUAGGACAUUAACCGGAGCACUUGACAAAGUUGCACGUCUCACUGGCAGGAUAGUCGGAGUUGGGGCUGCCAGCCGUGGAAACUGCACAUACACGGGUAGAAAAAAAGUUGCAGAUCAACUGUUAGGAAGUUGGCCGGGGCAGUAGAUGAAAUUGCACAUCUCACUUGCAGUGUAGUGGGCGGGGGCGCCUGUAGUGAAAACUACACAUCCACGUGGGAGGGGAAGUUGCACAUCGACUGCUAAGUAUGUGGCUAGAGCAGAAGACGAAGUUGCCUGUAUCACUACUAAGGUAGUUGGGCGAGGUGCCAGUUGUGAAAACUGCAUAUCCACAUGUAGGAGAAAGUUACACGUGGAAUACAAGUCAGUUGCACCAAACAGGGAGUAAACCGUACCAGUGGCGGAGCCACCUCCCGGCGACCCUAGGCAGCUGACCGGGCUAGUCCAGAAAUUUGCUCCUAAGUGCUAGUGUUAAUCAAUGGUUAGAAGAAAAAUUUCUUUGGGCAGAUGGCAGCUCACACUGUCACAGUUAACUCUUGCCCGGGCUGCAUUCACGGGCUGGCUCCGUCACUGAACCGGACACACAAGAAUUUUAUUUAAACAUACUUAUGCGGGAUCUUGUGUUGAAGAGCACGUCGCAAGGAUUCCAACGGCGAGUUAUCUUAAUUCCGAUGAUUUGUUUAGAAAUUCUGACUUAAAAAUCUGAAUUAAAUGUGUUCACAGUUAUUCGCAUGAGUACUUUUUCUAGUAUCAAUUAUGGAGAACCAGUACUUCCGAAAUCCGACCAGCUGCUCGGAAUUGCUAGCGAGUCAAAAGUCACUCGCUAGACACAUCUAACAUUUUAUAUUUCUUUACCGUUGUACUAUAAGUGUGCAUAACAAUUACGUGGUUGAAAUCUCAGCCACUGUGACUAAGAUAAACAAUGCAUAUACUUCUAGCCAAUAUGCAAGCACAUAAUUGCCUGUCUUCCUCUUAUUUUAAUAAUAAUAUAAUAGAUAUAACAGAUAGAUGUACUAAUAUCUUUAUUGUAUGCAUGCUACACUUGUUUAUUGUUUUCUGUUCUACACGCGCAGGUACCGAAUCUUAUUGGCAUUGUGUCGGCGUUAGCACAAACCGUUGUAUACUCCUACCUGCGCCUAAAGACAGGCAGUAACUUCCUCCAAACUGAAGAAGUGGACUACAGCCGCAAGCAGGAACUAGAGCUCCCUAUGUCUCUGGUGUAGAGUUUUUUUUUUGUUUUUUGAACACAACUCUGGUGUAGAGGUUGCCGGGGAAAAUUUGAACUUAAUUUGAGCUAGUUAUGAGAUUUUUUCCAUGGACGAUCGAUCUAUCUGCUAAAACUAAUGGAUCGACCCCAGGUUUGAGUAACAACUCGAUCUGUGGCAUAAAAUCCAGUUUUGAGUUUUCAAUGAAAAUAGAAAUUUUAAAUAUGCUCAUUUAGGGACUAUGAAGAUUAUUCCUGUAACUCCGAUGCCAUGUUCGUGUAUAUCACCUUCCAGGUACUUGAACUGCUCCUUUCGGUUGGAUAUCAUAUAUGUCAUUAUCUUGUUUAUAUGUCCAUUUCAGUCCAAUGUAUGUAGGCCACAAUUGAUGUUUCUCUAUGUACUUGAGCUUGUCAGAGGUUGUGUUAAAUUACGCACAUGGCCGAUGAAUGUGAAUUUGGAUGGUGGACGACGACAAGGGACUGAGAAUGCCCGGAAAAAAUGGAGAGGAAUAGUAGUUUCUAUUCUUCCAUGUUUCUAACAACACUUGGAUCUCUCACAUUGACAUCUCCAAUGGCCUAACCCUUGACCACGUCCAACAGUUCGCCCACCUUUGGGAAAAGGUUACUCAGGUCACUCUUGCUGAGGAUAUGGAGGAUUCCAUUAUUUGGAAGUUCACCAAGGACGGCAUGUACUCUUAUUCCUCGGCUUAUAAGGCGCAAUUUGAGGGCCUUACUACGUCGGACAUGGUCCAUUCAGUGUGGAAGGUGUGGGCUCCUCCGAGGUGCAAAUUUUUCGCUUGGCUUGCUCUUCAAAAUAGGAUUUGGACUUCAGAUCGCCUUCUUCGUCGUGGAUGGCCCAACUGCGGUCUUUGCCCACUUUGCAAGCAAAGUCAGGAAUCAGCAGCCCACCUUCUGUUCCAAUGUCGUUUUACCCUUCGCGUGUGGAAUGGUAUCCUCCAGUGGCUUGGCAUGCAUGACAUCAAUACCGCUGCUUGGAUGACGAGGGGCUCGGUGAAGCAAUGGUGGACCGCGAACAUUCAUAUUCGUAGCGAAUCCCCCAAGGCGCUUGCUUCGCUGAUGAUGCUCAUCUCCUGGGAGAUUUGGUCGGAGCGCAAUGCUAGAAUCUUCCGCAACACGGCCUCUCCUUCGGUGGUCCUUAUUAAUAGGAUUAAAGAGGAGAUGUCUCUUUGGGCUUUGGCGGGCGCCAAGCAUUUGAGUAUUGUAAUGGCGCGAGAGUAGUUCUUUCUUUUCUUGCCGCUAUGUGGCAUUGUCUAAACCUUCUUCCUUAAUCAAUGAAAUGACAAAUCUUUUGCCUUGUUUCAAAAAAAGAUAUAAAUAUAGUUAGAUAAUGGGCUUUGGUCUCGACAAGAUUCUGUCAGACUCCGGCUCCACCUCCAACAUGAUGACAUGUAGCCGACCAUGCGAUGCCACUUCGGUCAACUUCGAUCUCUCAUGUUUACAUCGUUUUGAUUCAACCCUCACUGUGUUGAAAAACUUGAAGUCCACAAGUCUUAAGGGUUUGCUUCGCAUGUACCACGCCUUGGAUUUGGACACCAUUAAAAAACAUGUUGUCAUUCCCAAUCCCAUCGACAUCUGUUGGAGAUCCUUUUCGAGUAAGACUGUACGCACUAUUUGCCGUAUGAAUAGAAACACUUUUAGACAUAUCCACCUACAACCAUGUUUCACCUCUCGGCAUGUCCGCUCAACAAAACCCGGUGAAUGCAAGUUCACUGAGUCAAGCAUGAUCUGACCCAUCAACCAUGAUCGACCACAUGUGAUUCCGCUAAGAUUUGCAUCAGGACAUCCAUGCUUUGCUACCACUCAAUGGUAAAUCAACGCAAUCAAUGCAAGACACCUAGAUUUGUUAAUGAGGUUUGCCUAACUCGCCUAGUCCUUGGUGCAUGACUACAAGGGCCUUGUUAGGCUUCAUCUUCGACUACCAUGCUAGGGCCGGUACCAUAGGCGGAGCUCUUGGUAGGGCAAGGCCAGGUGCCAGCCUAUCUUUACUUCCUACUAGAUUUUUUUUUCUCUAGCUAUUCAGUUGGUUGGUGGAACUGAAUAGCUGGAAAAGAAAAGGAGUGCAAAAGGCUUGGUGGUAUUUAUGUUGUUGGGUUGUGCUUAUUUUAGCUGUGUGCUCAACCUACUGAUCUACUACGUCUAUUGUGAACUAAUAUUAGCAUUCUACUAAUCUACACCCAAGAUUAUAACACACUAGUAUAAAGUCAGUUCAUUGUUUUGAUAUAUAUAUAUAUAUAUAUAUAUAUAUAUAUAUAUGAUUUUAUUAUAUGAUUUGAAUUACUAUGAUGAUGAAUCGUUCAAACGUACCUUAAAAAUAUUUUUGUGGUUGGUGUCCACGCUUCACAUUGCAAUCUCAACACAUGUAGGCACUUGUAGGAUGUCCUUCCUAUUGCACAAGACAUUUUUAGGUUUUCAGUUACCUGCAUGCAAAAUGAAGCAUUAAUUAAGCUCCUCUAGGAAAAUACUCAGCUAUAAUAAACAUAGUUAGUGAGAUUUUGAAACAAUAAUUAAGCUUGUCGAGGAACAUACUCAUCUAUAAAAUUGGUUAGACUUGCAUUGUUCUCCAUAUAUAAACUUUGAUACACUGAUUUAAGUUUCUUUGUGCAUAUUGUACAUAUUAACCUGCAUAUUUUCUUUUAAAAAAAUCUGUCAGGAAUAUUUCUUGGGACAUUCACAUCUAUGCCCCUAACUCAAACACACAACUCAAAUUUACCCCUAACUUUUUUAUGUGCUCAAAUUUGCCCGUAAAAAGCAUUUUAGGUUGCAAGAAUACCCUUCCAUCUGGUCAAUGUUGUUUGACUGAAACUUUGAAAAUUCAUAAUAAAUUCAUAUGAACUCAGAAGAAUGUAAAAUAAAAUAUCAAAAUGUUCAUAAAAACAUCACCUAUAUGCACAUGUUAUUUACGUUCAUGACAACAACACUCUUUAAAGCUUUUUAGGGUUUAUAACAUUUAAAAAGUACUUAGGGUGAAUGCAAAUAAAUGCACGUGUAGGUGAUGCACGUAAACGACAUGCGCGUAUAGGUGAUAUUUUUAUGAACAUUUUUUAUAUCUUUUUUGCAUUCUACUGAGUUCAUAUGAAUUUGUUAUGAAUUUCCAAAGUUUUGGUCAAACAACUUUGACCUGCUUGAAGGGAAUCCUCGUGACCUAAAAUAAAAUGCUUUUUAGGGGCAAAUUUGAGUACAUCAAACAGUUACGGGUAAAUCUGUGAGUGGGCGCAAAUUAGGGGCAUAAAUGUAAAUGUCCCUAUUUUCUUAUAACUUUUGGUCAAACUGUUUUUGGCUUUGGUAAGUGGAGAAUAUUAACUAAAUGUGUAACAAUAAAUGAAAACUUACAGUACGCAUGAAAAUGCAUCAUGUUGAUGUCCCCAAACAAUCACUUCUUGCCUUUUUGCCUCGGACACCUUUCACAGUCUUGAAGAGAUGAGCUGAGCACUGCAUGUUCUCGCAAAAAAAAAAAAAAGAUUGUGAGAAAAAGGCAAAUGCUCAAAGUUGUGAAGGGUAAGUAAGAGUGUGAGAAAAAAACAGUACUACAUGGAAGCGUUUUUAUCAUUUUAUUACAAAGAAAGGGGCGGCUGGAGAUUCCAUGUAUUUUAUUUUAGAAAGAAACGCUUAAUAAAAUACCGACGCCAUAGAAGCAGAGCCCGUUCCACGGGCCCGUGCGGUACGUCUUGACGUCGCGUCGGCACACCACGAAAUCCGGCAGCCCUUUGCAGAGACCGGCGUAGUCCCCUGGAGACAGUCAUCGGCGGAGCUCCACGACGAGGUGUCCGACAGGCGACGGCUGAGCCAACGACUGCCACAGGGAGGUGUUGCUGCUGGUGUUACGCACGACCACGUUGGCGGGAUCAAUAAGCUGCACCACCGCGGCGGAGGCGGCCUGCAAGUUGGAAGACCACACCGUUCCGGCGGGAGCCGUCGAGCAGGGCGAGGCUGCCGGCGCCGUUGAACGCCAGCACGCCGGACUUGUCAAACAGAGGCUAGUCGCGGUCAGAGAUCCCACACCGAAAUGUAAUUUCUAUAUUAUACUCUGAAACAUGGAUAAUUUGACGAGGGUUGCGUUCCUCAACCCGACAUAUCGUUCCCGGGUCAUCGUUCCCAAAUUAAUUGGGUCACGUUCCAUCUAUCGAUCGGUUCACUUGAAAGAUGUAUACCCCCAUCGUUCCCUACUACUGGCACCUGACGAUCCUCGACCCUCGUUCCCGUCUCUCGUUUCCAUCGUCCCGGGAACUUGGCAACUAUGCACCGAAUCAAACGUCCCAUGCGGCUGCGUCGGCGCCUAACCUCUUCUCUAGCCGCCCCUCUCUCCUCUGGCCAGCGCCGGUACUGAAGACGACGACGUCGGCUCGAUUCUCUACAACCAAUCUCCGACGAAUUCAACCCUUUAAUAACACUGUAAAUGCUGAAUUUAUCUCUUUUUUUGUUUGUUUUGGAAAUACCUAUUUGAUUGAGUUUGAAUCUGAAAAAUUGUCAUUCAAAAAAAAAAAAAGAAUACGAAAAUCUGUGACAUGAUUCCGGCCUCCAGCCAACGGUGGUCUAUAUCAUUAAACAGGGAACUAGAGCGUAUCCUUUCUGCUAACGUUUUGAUCCUCUGAAAAAUUGUUUGUAAUAGCUUCAAUCUAAUGGCCCAACCGUACUGCUGUUUUAAUCGUUCCUUUGAAUCGCCACUCGGGAUUAUUUGCGGGGACGUUGUUCCACUUUGCUUCUUCCUCCUCCUCUUCUUCUUCCUCUCGAAAUAGAAACCAUCUUCCAUUGAAAAACGAAGAGUGCCUAUGUAUGACAUAACCCAUACAUAGUGGUCGAAUGCUCUUUGAGAAGAAAAUAAUUCCUUGGAAAGAGGAAAUAUUUUGAUCGGAAGUAUGGCAGGCAAACUUGCUGGCCUGAAUCAUUUUCCUUACAAGUUGUUACCAGAAGAAACUAUUUCACAGGAAAGAAGAAAUAACCAAGAUUGAAACCAUAUAUUACCAGUAAUCAAAAUCAUUUCAUGGCAUACGACCAACCAUAUUUCACCGCUGGUCCACAUGAAUGGUUUGCUAGGUAGAAAUGGCAGGUAAUUAAGCAAAGAUUGCGUGUAUACCACUAACCUGGAAGGAGGUCAAUGGUGUCGCUUGCUCUUCAGCGCCAAGUACAAGCACAAACCGUGAAGUAGAUCCAUGAUCCAUGUACCCAGAGGGAGCUUGACAGGAAGAGAACUUAUAUAAGCAAACAACGUUUACUUGACCGAGUCGUAGAGAGAAGAUGAUUGUUACGGGAAAUGCGUGUAAGGUGCUGUCAUGAUCCAGAGAGUAGUAUAUUGAGAAACAGCUACAGUUGACUUUCCCAUUCACAAAUGACUGAUUGGGAGUAGACAGCGCAUCUGGUGCUGACAUGAUUGAUUAGAUACUAAGCUGGACAACGUCCAAUUGAUAUCCUAACAAUUUUUUUCCCACUAGAACUAUGAAACCCCCGAGCGGUCGGGGUUGUACCUGUACUGUACUGCAGGAAUAAGACAACUAGCUAUUCACUCAGUUUAUUUUUCAUAAUAAGAUUAUGUAGGAGAAAUAUGUAGGAGGAAUGGCAAAGCACUUGCAAUGCAAAAUAACGUUCAAUACAUCGAAGACAAAGAAAGUGAGCCGUUGAAUCGAACGGUGCUGUUUCGCUAGGGUGUCACUAAAGAAAAUUGUUCAACGCCAUACCCCCGAGCGAACUCUUCCAUUGAUUCUUGGGAAACAUUUAAAAAGGGUUAACCAGCCGAGCACCCCACGCCGAUCACUCGGCAGUACCUACCCGGCCAGGCCCCACACAUCGCUUUUGUUUCCACUACUAUAAAAUAACUCUAUUUUUAAUGAUAUGCCGAGAUUCAAAUCAGGACCAACUCUUUUCUUCUUAAUGAAAUGCACGAACCCCAUGCCCCUCUCGAGGUGUUCUAGAAAAAACCCUCUACGAUGAGUGUUUUGUUUGUACGCCGAGAUUCAAACCACGGUAUCUCAACAAAGUGAUAUACACCGAGUACCACUCUCAGCAAAGUGCGGCAAAGAGAUGUCUUUGCCGAGGCAAAGCUAAAAUGCGCAUGGCAAAGACAAAACACUCGGUAAAAAAUGCAUACGCCAAGAGCCCAAUAGUGAAGACACGGCAAUAAGUUCCCAUGUGUCAUGUCCGUUUGCGCUUGAUGGCUCCGGGGCAUUGGGGUGGUUUUGCCGAGAGCUCCGGUACGAUCAUGGCAUAUAUUUUCAAGAGUAGUAUACAACAUUACAAGAGUGUUUGUCCGCGUGGCGGCGCGAUCAUACUAGAAAAUAGUCCCUCCGUUCCUAAAUAUAAGUCUUUGUAGACAUUUCAAUAAAGACUACAUACAGAUAUAUAUGGACAUAAAUUCACUCAUUUUGCUCUUUUUGUAGUCCGUAUUGAAAUAUCUAAAAGGACUUAUAUUUAGGAAUGUAGGGAGUAUAUCAGAAACUAGAACUGCACUGGGACUUACAAGCAAGGAAGCAUUUUGACCGUGGCUCAACUUCUCUGAUGAUUGUUGAAGUACAAAUGCAUAGCCCACAUAUCCCUAUCAGCUUAAGAUUUUGGAUGAAUUGACUAGUCUGUGGAGUUUUACAUGGUAUCCAAGCCAAGAGAUCUUGCUAUUGGGGAAUGGACAUUUUUAGCAGUCACCAGUGGAGGAGUCGACGUUGCUCCUUGGCCACGAUGAAACCUAUCUCUAGCCGGCCUGCGACAUCAAUGCCCUCCUCUGUUCUGUUGAGAUAUGCUGCUUAGGCGCAUCAUCGCUUUGGGUCUCCUUUCCACUUCUUCUCCCCUCUCGUCCAAUGAGUUUGUUUUUUAUGCUAGGAUGAUUUGACCCACGCUCUCUGUUACAUCCAAGGACAGAGUUACUUUGUCCAAAUUUUAUAUCGUGGUUCUUUCUGGUGUCGAUGGGUAAGUGAGCUUGACAGGUUCUUCCUCAGUUAACGAAACCCCAUCUUCAGGAACUGGUAUCUGUGUGAUAUUAAUAUAUUCCCUUUUUCAAAAAAAAAACUUCAGAAACUGGUGCCCCGCCGUUGUCAGACACUUGUUCUGAAGGCGCAGCAGCAGUGUUGCAUCCGCGACCGUCACAGACUAAUACAGAUGUCCUGUGUCGGCCUUGGACAUCAUAUGCGGAGCUGCUGCUCUGGAGAACGGUCGGCCUUGGGCUCACCGUUGUCACCAUGGACUACGGCCCUUUUUGUUUGGGCUUGUGCUUCUACUGUUGCAACUUUUCUACUUUGAUCAUGAAGUCAAAAAAAGCUUCUAAAUAGAUGAUUAUAAGACAUAAAAGCUCGAAAGCAUCGAAAGCCAUAAAAGCUUUAAAAUCACCUAUUUAGGAGGUUUUAUGACCUGAUUUUGAAGCUGUUAUGGCUUUUUGACCGAAGUAAAAAAGCUGUGGAAACAGAAGCAAAAGCCCAAACAAACAGGCUUACAUGUAGUGUACCUAGGAUCAAAGAUGUAAAAUCACUCACAGUCAACUUCCCAGCGCCUAAACAGUUGGUCCGUGCUAUAUUGAUAAGGGACAAAUACUUAAAAAUGAUGCUCCACAGUUAAUGACCAAAAAAUAGUUCCAUUUUUAUAGGAAAUUUCACUAAUAGUAUUACUUUUUGCGGGGUAAAUAAUGUCUUUUGAUACGAUCCGAGAAGGAAGCUGAUUUCCCCUCAGAGAGAGAGAGAGAGAGGGGGAGAGAGAGAGGGGGGAAAGUUGACUCUGUGCAAGUACGCUCGCACCUACACCUAGGCCGGCACCGCCACACCGGACACGCACGUAUACUGUGUCUCAAUCAGCACAUGCAGCGACGCUGACUGCACGGUCCCACCUGGCAGCCGGAGCAGGUCACCCUCUACGUAGCUCAUGUGCCUCCCAGCCUCCCUCGUGCUCGUGUCAGAGGUCACUGUCCUGGCACCAGCAACCCCCGAAUCUUCUUCCCGCAUCAUUUCAUUUGUUUAACGCCCAAUCACCAGCUAAUGAUUCAUGCCAUUCCAUCGAUGCCACAUGCGAGCGACGUGAGAUGCGAAGAAGAUUACUCCCUCCAUUCCAUCGAUGCGACAUGCGAGAACUGAAUUCGUAUCCAAAUGGCAAAAAACCUGAGGACGAAAAGAAUUAAAACAAUCUAAACUGUUUUCGAAAAAAUUCCAUUGAGUUGACCGUUUCGAGUAGCGCCCGACAAAUAGGCGCCACACUAUACUGUGCAGCGUCUGACUCUUAGGCGCCACACGUCUGUCCAGCGUGGCAGCCCGAGCCCCAUUCCUGGUUGUGCAGCGCCUAGCUGAAAGGAGCUGCACAGUGUAGUGCAACGCCUAGCUGAAAGGAGCUGCACUACCUCAUAUUAAAACUAUUUUAACUUUUAGUCCGUGCCUUCAAUGAAAACGUGUCUUAUAUGAAUGUUGUACAUUUUUCCGUGUUCUAUGCAAUGGUGGCAUUUUCAUCUAUGUUAGGAUCAAUUGCUUGAUGAGAACCCUGUUGCAAUAGUGCAUCAUAAUAUAACUGACAGAAUCUGUUAAAAUUUACAGACAUGGCAUGAUGAUAGCCAUUGACCUAUAGAUCUUACGCGUUUGAAACCUACAUGAAUUUUGCACUACAUAAUGUGUACUUUCACGCCAUGCCUAUGCUUGCCAUGUUAAUCAUCUUUAACAUGUUCAUUUCAUGUAUCUAAGUGACUAACAUAAUAUAAGUGAACUUCUAUUACAGAAAGUUGCGUUUUGUAUGAUCCAUAAUAAUUAAUCCUGGCAUCAUAUGAAUAUGAUCUAAUAUGAAACUUAGAAAAUAUUAUGUCUACUUUAAGUCCAUGUCAUUUUCACACCCAUUAAAUAUGUGCAUCACUAUGUUUUGAAACACUAAAGUACCUAAGGGAAUGUUCUGCCUGAUUGACACAUUAAUUUCAUCGAGUUCAUGGAUAUCAUCAGAGCUUUGCAUUUUAUAAAGAUGUAUACUUAUAUAGUCUUUAAAUUUAGCACCUAUAAUGUUUGCUGUCAGUAGCAAGAGCACAUGUUCUCUAAUUUGGACUAUGUUUUUUGUCUAUUGGAAAAAGCUGAGGUCGGUAUGGAGUGAGUCGGUUUGAACAUGAUAACCCAGUACAGCCUCAUGCUAACUAGGACGACAAAACAAAGUUGACAGGAAAACUAGCUGUCAACGCUACUAGCUGGAAGUUAGAGGGCUUAUCUUACUAGCAUAAUGAAUAAUAGAGUUUAGUCAGCAGGAAAACUAAACUGAUCUAAACAAAAUUCUAAAUGAAAACCAUAUCAUGUUCAUGCCAACGGGUUUUGUAGAAAUCAAGAUAUGAUUAUGUCAAGAUAUGCAACAAAUUUGUCAACAACAUUAUCAUGCCUACUUUAGUGCAACAUAACAUCAGGUUAAAUGUUUUUAACAUGGCAACACGCUGGAUAUACUGAAAGUAGACAUGGAGAUGCUCAAAUUCAUAUAUAAAGUUAUUUCAUAUGAAGCAUGGUUGAUUUACUAUUCAUUUUACAAAAUGCAAAGUUCUGUUGACAUCCAGUGACUUGGUGAAAUUAAUGUGUCAAUCUGGCAGAACAUUGCCUUAGGUACUUUAGUGUCUCAAAACAUAGCGAUGCAAAUAUUUUGUGGGUAUGAAAAUGACAUGGACUUAAGGUAGACAUAAAAUUUUCCAACUUACAUAGUUAGAUCAUAUUCAUAUGAUGUCAGGAUUAAUUACUAUGGCUCUUACAAAAUGUAACUUUUAGAAGUUCACUUAUAUCAUGGUAGUCACUAAGAUGCAAAAAAUGAACAUGUUAAAGAUGAUUAACAUGGCAAGCAUAGGCAUGGCGUGAAAGUGAACACUAUGGAGUGCAAAACUCAUAUAGGUUGCAAAUGCUUAAGAGCUAUAGGUCAAUGGCUAUCAUCAUGCCAAGUUUGUAAAUUUUAACAGAUUCUGUCAUUCAUAUUAUGAUGCACUUUUGCAACAAAGUUUUCAUCAAGCAAAUUGAUCCUAACAUAGAUGAAAUGCGACCAUUGAGUAGAAUACGGAAAAAUGUACAACAUUCAUAUAAGGCACGUUUUCAUCGGAUGCACGGAUUAAAUGUUACAACAGUUUUAAUAUAAGGUAGUGCAGCUCCUUUCAGUUAGGCGCUGCACUACACUGUGCAGCUCCUUUCAGCUGGGCGCUGCACAACCAGGAGUGGGGCCCGAGCUGCCAUGCUGGACCAAUGUGUGGCGCCUAAGAGCCAGGCGUUGCAUAGUAUAGUGUGGCGCCUAUCUGUCGGGCGCCACUCGAAACGAUCAGCUCAAUGAAUUUUUUUCGAAAGCAGUUCAAAUUAUGAAUUCCUUUUGUCCUCAGGUCAAAUAUGUGUUUUUUCCCUAUCCAAGUAGCGAAUUUUGUGGUAUAUAUUUUUGCUUCCGUUGCAGUUGGUCUUAUUAUUUAAAUUUAUGAUCAAACUUAGAUCAUGACAAGCGCGAGCACACUAUAUUGUGGAAGGGAGGGAGUACUACCCUAGGUGGAGUUGAGAGCAACUCCAACUGGGCCACCCAUUUGGUCUGCUCAUGACCAUUUGGUUCGCCGCAGACAAAAAUGCUGAUUUAACAUGCCAACCCAUUGCCAAAGCGCGUCCGCGCGGACCCAUUUCCUGUCCAAACUGGGACUGAAAUGCGGUGCCUCCGCUCGCUGUCCGCCGCGUCCCCUCCUGGCGGUUGGUCAACUACAUCCUGUGUCAUUAUUAAUGACGACCAGAGACCGCAGGCCCACGCGUCACCGACGGCGGGUGUCCUUUUUUAACUCUAGAGUGCGGGGGCGGGACGGGGUGGGGGUGGGGGCGGCCGCAUCCUCUUCCAGCCCUUGUUCCCAUCUAGCCACCACCUUGCUCCCCCUUCGGUGUCGGACGUCGCCACAGCCUGGGGGACGGGGUUCCCCCGGGAUGGCCUAGCGACGACAGAGAUAACGAAGACUCCUAGGGCAGCACACACUCCUCUUUUUUUUAGUUUUAUUUAAUAUUUUUAAUCAAUGUAAUGUGGACUCGUGGAUUAUCGCCAACCUUUGUGGCUGGCAUCUAUGUUUAAUUAACGUUUUAACAAAGUACGCGUCUGUUGGUUCGCCCGGUUGGAGUUGCUCUGAGAUCCCCUUUCAAUAUACUGGCAUUGCUUGGCAGCUUCCACUCAUCCAUUCCCUUCUACUGUCAGGUGUAGCAUAUCUUCCCUACUACUUACUAUAAAAAGAGCAAAUAUUAUAUUUGUUUAGACCCCAUACAUAUAGACAGACUCAUUAUCAUCGUAUAAUUAACACUAAACUCAAUCUAACAACUAGCGUUAACCCAAUCAAUUCUCUGAGAUGCAUUUAGCAAUAUACAUUGACCGGACGUAUUCCACCGUAGACGAAAAUACAAACUCUGUCCUGCGUCAGCAACCUCUCUUUUGUUAUUAGCACUGAUCUCCCCACUCAAUCCCGUCCCCCCAUAGGAUCACAAGCGAGAGACAAAAUCCUUGGAAGACACACAAGGCAUCCGACGCUGCGAAGAAGAUGCAAGCCGCCGCCAUCAAGUACUCGCGAGACACCUGCCUCAACAACGCCCGCUAGCCACGGUUGGGAGAAAGGGAGAGGUGGAGAAGCUGAGAGAGGAAGCGCGACCAUCGGGGCGUGGGAGCGCCCGAUGUGGCGUUUUUUUCCGAAAAGGGGGGGUCUCCUCGGCCUCUGCAUCAAAACGAUGCAUACGGCCACAUAAAUAUAUAAAUAAAGUUCAACAAGGUCGUAAAGUCUGAAAACAAAAUAACGGCGAGCUCACAAAGAGCCACAACACCAGAAACACAAGGCCCAAAAGCCAAAACCGGCUGGCAAAACAAAGAUAGGUAAACUAAUUGCCUAUCCUAUUACAUGACCGACAUCCAAACCGGUUGAAGAUAUCCCGCGCCACCAUCUCCCACCGGACAGAUCCAGUAACCAAACGCUUUCUGGCCUCCAUCGGAAUUAGUAAGGACCACAAGCGGAUCAGCGCAGUAACUCGGAAUAAAACUUGCAAAAAAUAAAUAUUUGUUUUUCUGUUAAAGGUCAAAUCAUUUCUGCAAUUCCAAAUUGCCCACAACAAAGCACAUACUCCUACACGAAUGUGUCUGGCUGUUUCGGACUCUAUCCCAACAAGCCACGUUCCAAAUAACGUACUGACCGAAUUCGGAGGAGCAAUGUUAAAGGCAAUAUGCACCGUGUGCCACAAAACCUUUGCCAAAGGGCAGUCAAAGAAGAGGUGCUUGAUGGUUUCGACCCGUUGACAAAAACUACACCUAGUAGAUCUUGUCCAGUUGCGCUUAAUCAAAUUAUCCUUUGUUCGAAUGACUUGUUUAUGCACAAACCACAUAAACACUUUAAUUUUCAAAGGAACUUUGACUUUCCAAACCUCUUUGAAACUAGGAAUAACACUUGAGUUAAUGACAUCGAUAUACAUCGACUUGACAGUGAACUCACCAGACCUAGUAAGCUUCCAACACAACUUAUCGGGUUGGUGAGAUAGUUGAACGUCCAUCAGUCUACUCACCAAAUGAAGCCAUGCUUCCCACCGGUCGCCCACAAGUGCCCUCCUAAACUGAAUAUUAAGGGGAAUGGACUGCAAAAUUGUGGCAACAAGAGCAUCACGUCGUUGAGCAAUACGAUACAGGGACGGAUACUGAAGCGCCAACGGCGUUUCACCAAGCCAAGUAUCCUCCCAGAAGCGAGUGGUGUUACCAUUACCGACUAUAAACUUAGUUCUACUAAAGAAGGCAGCUUUGACUCUCAUAAGCCCCUUCCAAAACGGUGAGUCUAUGGGUCUCACUGUCACCUGGGACAACGUCUUGGACUGCAUAUACUUACUACGAAGAAUCUGCGCCCACGUGGCCUUGGUGUCAACUGAAAGUUUAUACAACCACUUGCUGAGAAGACAUCUGUUUUUGACUUCAAGAUUCUCAAUACCAAGGCCCCCCUGGUCCUUUGGUCGACAGAUGAUAUCCCAUUUGACUAGUCGGUAUUUUCUCUUUGUUUCAUCACUCUGCCAGAAGAACCGGGAUCGAUAGAAGUCCAGCCUUUUCCUAACACCAACUGGGACUUCGAAAAAAGAUAAGAGAAACAUAGGCAUACUCGUGAGCACCGAAUUAAUAAGGAUCAGUCGGCUCCAUAAGACAUGAGUUUGCCCUUCCAGCAAAUUAGUUUCUUCUCAAACAGGUCUUCGAUGCUCUUCCAUUCUCUGUUUGUCAUCUUACGAUGGUGAAUGGGUAUACCUAAGUUAGUGAAAGGUAAUGCCCCCAAUUCGCAUCCAAACAAUUGCCUAUAAGCCUCUUGUUCCUCAUUGGCUCUACCAAAGCAGAACAACUCGCUUUUAUGAAAAUUGAUCUUCAGCCCGGUCAAUUGUUCAAAUAAGCAUAACACCAGCUUCAUAUUCUCGCUUUCGCCAAGUCGUGCUCCAUAAAAGGAUUGUAUCAUCAGCGUACUGCGGGAUGGAUACACCUCCAUCAACAAGAUGAGGCACCAAUCCACCCACCUGACUAGCCUCCUCGGCCCUUCCUAUCAGAAUCGCCAACAUGUCAACCACAAUGUUGAACAGAAUAGGAGACAUUGGAUCACCUUGUCUCAGGCCCUUGUGUGUCUGGAAAUAAUGACAAAUGUCAUCAUUCAUUUUAAUUUCAACUCUUCCUUUUUGCGUGAAGGAUUCUACCUGGCGUUGCCAAGCUUCAUCAAAACCCUUCAUGCGUAAGGCCUGCUGAAGGAAAGGCCAUUUGACUUUGCCGUACGCUUUCUUGAAAUCCACUUGAAAACAACUCCGUCUAGCUUUUUCGUGUGGAUCUCAUGGAGCGUUUCAUGAAGGACCACAACCCUUCAAGGAUGUUUCUGUCUGGCAUGAAAGCAGUUUAGGUAGGCUGCACCACAGCAUGCACGAUCGGUGUGAGCCUAUUAAUCCUGACCUUGGUGAAAAUUCUAAAACUAACAUUAAGAAGACAGAUUGGCCUGAAUUGCUCAAUUCUCACAGCCUCUGUUUUCUUAGGAAGAAGGGUUAUCGUUCCAAAAUUCAGUUGGAAAAGCUGAAGCUGCCCAGAGAAGAGAUCAUUGAACAAGGGCAAUAGAUCCCCCUUAAUGAUGUGCCAGCACUUCUUAUAAAACUCAGCCGGAAAUCCAUCCGGGCCGGGAGCCUUAUUAUUUUUCAUUUGCGAUAUAGCCUCGAGAACUUCUUUCUCAGUGAACGGGGCCGCCAAGAUAUCGUUCUCCACUGCUGUUAGUUGAGGAACAUCCUCAAUCCUGGACUUAUCCAAUGACACACAGUUAACCUUUGGGGGUCCAAACAGCUGCUUGUAAUACUCGGUAAUGUAUAAUUUUAGAUUUUCCUGUCCUAAAAUCGUUCCCUCAUCUUGUUCAAGCUGGAAGAUCCUCUUCUUUCUGUGUUUACCAUUAGCGAUCAUGUGAAAGAAUUGAGUGUUCGCGUCCCUCUCGACUACUCUUCGGACCUUGCCCGCAACGCCCACUUCAAUUCCUCCUCUCGAAGAAGCUCUUUCAGCCUCAUCUCCGCAUCAAGCUUGGCAUGAAGCUUCGAGGAUGGCAGAACUGUGGUUUCUGCUUUUACAUCUAAGGACUGAAUAAGGUUAAGGAGCCGUUCCUUUUCGACCUUAUAAAUCCCACUAAGAUGCUUUGCCCACCCACGCAGAAAACUUCUCAAUGGCGUGGGGCGGCGGACCUACGAAGGAAGCGGAAGAUCCGGCUAGAGCUGUGCACGUGGUGGGGCGAUGUUGACCCGCGCACGCUGCUAGUAGUAGGGACAAAUCGGAGGCCAGGAGUGGCAGUCGGUGGCCUUUGGACAUCUCCAACGGCAACCCGCAAAUUUCCUCUCGCAUCCGUCCGCGGGCAGGGGAGGGAGGGGGCAGUCCGCAGACACAGACGCGGGAGGCUGCCAUCUAACCUUAGUCGCAUAUAUUUUGACAACAAUGCGAACCAACCGGAUGAAAUUCAAACAAAUCGAACGAAUUUUGGUAUAAACAUGACGGAUUUCAUAUAAAAAAGUCCAGAAUUCAUAUAAACAUAACAUAUUUCAUAUAAACAUGACAAAUUCCAUUACAUUUCAAACAUAAUUCUAUUCUAAACAUGAACUAAAUGAUCGCCUGGGCCUGGUCCCGUAUCCGGCCAUCAGUCCCGAGAAUUAAAGCUUCACUAUCUCCAAUUUUGCCUCAGCGCUCUCCAGCUCCGCCUCCGUAACCUCCGCCUCCGGAGCACCGGGAACUGAAGCUCUCCGCCUCCAUGUCGCCGCCAAGCGACUAAUUGGCCGACAAUGCACAACCCACCAAGUUGUUGUUGACAGGAGGGGAGGAUCGGUGGCCUUCCUGUGACCAGAGCUGCGGUGACCUACCACGCACUACUCUUCCUCACUGCCGGCGGCACCCUUGGACGUGCCGGCUAUCGGGGUUAUGAUCCUGACAAUGAUUUCUAGCGGUACGAAUAAUUGGGAGAGCCUAGCUACAACGCAGGUGUAACACUCGGUGUUUAACGAGUUCAGGCCCCUCACUCGCUGGAGGUAAAAACCCUACAUCUCGUGCCCUGAGGCUUGCUUUGAUUCGAUAAGUAUGGUUACAAAGGUUGCUCGUCCUCUAGCUAUGGAGAAGGGUGUGGCUUAUAUAAAGUGCGCUGGAGCCCAUGUCUCCCACGCCGUCGAGGCUAUUAAUGACAUUAAAUGAGUCAGUUGCUAGUAUAAUGAGCCUCUACUACAUCAGUUAUAGGUAACGGUAGCAUUCGUUUUGUCUCUCAAAGGAGAUAGACUAGAGGCCCGAGUGCGGGCAUGCCACUGUAACCCGAGUGGCGACGGCGGCGCGUGGUCUGACUCUUCGGAGAGAUGCCACUCCAUAUCCCAGGGGAACACCAGCGCAUGCCUGCUACGAGUCCAGGUUUACGAGUCAUGCGCCUUGGAGCCUAAUGAGAGGGCCAAGUGAACCACGAAGGGGCGUCAAGCUCAUCACAUAACGAUCUUGAAGAAGACUUCAGUCGGGUGUUUAACAUGCCGAGUGCACGGGUCCCCGCGGAUGGUGAUCAGUCGGACUGACGUGUGUCCCUUAGAAAAGGAACUGCAGGUAAUCAACCGGAUUGAUUUGUCCUGAAAAUCUCGGGAUUCGAAUUUGCGAGUUCACGCGCGGAAGCGGUAACGUCAUGCGUUAGUGGGAAAAUGGGGGCGUGCCUCCUCGAUUUGCGUGCAUGAUCCCCGCCACGUGUUGCACCUGCUCUGUGCAAAGCCCCUUGGUGCGGGCCGCCGAUCCAGGCUUAUACAUACGUAAGUGCAUAACAGUUUCGGACAGAUGUAGGCUAUAGAAUGAAAUAGCUUAAAUUAUUUUAUUUGUUCCCAAAUUUCCAUAUCUAGUCUCUCUAGUGGUCUGCUUAAUGAGCAGCUAUAUUAUUGUGAAAAAGAUGGUAGUCCAGCUAAAUCAAAUAUGUGAGUAAAACAGGAAUGAAAACUUGUAUGACAACUUUACUGAAGUAGUGAUCAAAAUACUGAAUAUGAGUGGCACUACAAGCUACAGCAAGGCAAGGCACAUUGUUGGCGUUGUUAUACCAUGAAGCCGAUAUGCUCCACCUAUGUUGUGGUUCCACCAACUCGUCCCUCGGGUAUAUCUCUGAUAUAUGGUUUGCGCAAGAAACGUGGAAAUGUAGCAUUACCUAUCUGUGGACCUCGCAAGUGAAACCAUAUGAUUGAUGUGGGAAAUCUGUUUUAUGGUAUGACGCCAUGGACGUGCCUAGUGGCGGUGCCAGAACUAUAAACCUGUGAUGUCAACUAUAAUUCCUCUCCAAAUCUCAGUAUUUCUGAAUUUAUCAAUGAAUUUUACUUGUAUAUUUAGAAGGUUUUGGUCAAAAGCUGUGUAGUCAGUAGACUACAUAGCCAUAGUGUGGCUUCGCCACGUGCCUAGUCUUGCUGGAUAGCUUUGAAUGCUGCUGGUAUGUGACUAUUCUGGAUGAAUUCCUAUACACUAUAGUAGUUUAGUUGCCAUAUAAGUAGUUCUGUUUAAGUCCCAUCUUCCCUUUAGAUGACCUAGGUAAGGAAGCAACUACAAUGGUCGGACAGAAUGUUCAACAGAUGGGGGGAUUUAUUUUUCAGUGUCGGUAGCUUCAACAAGAAAGUUAGGCAUGAAAAUUUUGGAGCAAUAUAUUAGUAUUUAACCAACGUUUUACUGUCAUCAACUGCAGUAUCUACCAUUGAUACCUGUAGGUAUGGAUGGAAGGCGGCGUCCCGCUCCCGCAUAAGCCCGCAAAAGUAGGAAGUUGUUCAAACUCAACCUAAUCGAUAAACAAAUGCACAACUAAGCUGAUCUGUUUUAACUACGGAACAGGGCGGAUCCGGCUCCGUGUCCCUACCUGUAGGUAGUACUAACUGUUUAUUCUUAACUGCCUUGUAUUUUUGGUAAAAUUUUAAAUGUAGAGCUAAAAUAUCAAUAUCUAUAUUAGUGUCAGAUCAGUUGGUGAUAUGACUUGAGCCAUUAGUGUCCUGGUAGGUGGUAGUAUUAUAAUUUCAAACUAUAGCAUUUGAUGGGAAUAGGCCGAGAUGUCUUUUGGCCUGUGUUCUUGUUAAAUUUGUCUGCUAUAUGAUCUUUCUGGCCAUUGGGCCCUGUUAUGGCGAAGCAGAACACAUGAGUAAUUCAGUUAUUAUGCAUGUAAUUCCAUUAUUUUGUCACUAUUGUUUUACAUGUGUUAUGGUUCUUCAUGUUGUAUAACAUUUCUGAAAUAGUAUAUUCAGUUAGCAACAUAAUGUCUCAUCAAUUAUCCCCCCUGAGAGGUCUAUGACUCCAAAGCUUGUUAGGCCCUGCUUGGAAUCGUUGUAAGUUGAUACAUCCGGAUUUAUUUUACAGGUGUAUAAUACCGGUCGUAGUAUAAUUUUUGCCUGGAAUGAAAACAACGGCUGGAGGUGUGUAUCGGUUUUACAGGGGUAUCUACGAGCUAAACGUUCUUGGCACUUGGAUGGAUACGUUUUGGAAUGGUGGGACAAGCGAACCAGCUUGCAAAACCCAGAUCGACGAGCCUUCGCCUCUCUUACAAUGUUGGUUUCUUGGACAAUCUGGAACGAGCGUAACGCUCGGGUCUUCCGUCGCAAGAGUGCACCACCCCCGGUCCUCCUUCGGACUAUCAUCGACGACGCCAAGCUUUGGGUUCUUGCGGGUGCUAAAAAACUGGGGUCCAUUAUUGUACGCGAGUAGUUGCCAUGCCGUGUGUGUGGUCACUUGUAACACCCUAAAACUCUUCUCUCUUAUUUAAUGAAUGAGGCAAAUCUUUUGCCUCUGUUUCAAAAAAAAAAAAGAUGAUCCAAACGGGGCCUUAGUGUAGAGAAAUAUCAACUAUGUUAGUAGUAGAGUGGAUGGGGUUGGAUUGGAUUGACUAUCUGGUUUGGGUUCUGGCAAGCCAAAUGUGAACAAGUAUUUACACAGUUGGUUCAGCCUCAUGGAUCUUUUAUGUGGCACUCUUGACAGUGCUACAAAAGAAUUCUUAAAAAACAGAUUUAGUAUGAAAAACGUUUUGGGCUGAUUUUGUCAUAUAGGUCAAAGGUGCAGUGGGCUGGAUUUGUACCCAAAGUACCAGGUAGCUUUGUUUGUGGCUUUGUUUAGAACUUUAGAUGGGCAAGAUUGCAGUGGAGGGUGUAGGCGGACGCAUCCAGCCGGAUUGGAGGGCCGAAUGCGGCGGCGCCAUCGCUAUCACCGUCGUCGCUGUACAGCGCCUCCCGCCCGCCGGUGUGGUUCAGUUCUCUCAUGGGAUUUUUAUUUAUUCUUGGUACAAUAGCCGAGCAUACGAGAGCUGUUGGAUCUUCAUUGCACGGUCAAUACUAGAAGAAUGUUCCAGAGUGAUCUUAGAGUCAGGAUUCUAGAAAAGAAAAUCUAGAGCAUGAGAAUAAAUAAAAAUGUGAAUUGCCAAGUUUAAUAAUCAGAUGGUACAUUACUUUGUCAAGAAAAUUAGAUGGCACAUUUUUUUUGCGGAAAAACUUUCAAUCUAUUCAUCUUCAAUAAUGGUAGUACAACGAACACUAAAAAUAACAAAAAUUAUAUCCGGAUCCGUAUACCAUCUAGCGAUGACUACAAACACUGAAGCGAGCCGAAGACGCGCCGCUGUCAUUGCCCCUUCCUCGAUGGAGCCGGGCAAACCACAUUAAGCAACAUUUUAAGUAAAUAUAACAGCUUACAGAGUAUUAUCAUUUUUUCUAUUUCAAACAUUCUUCUUCGUGCCAAAGUUUACUAAAAGGGGUAAGAUCUCAACUAGAGGAUAAAAAGCGAUAUUUACUGGACGCGGUUUGGACAUGAACAUUAAAUUCACGAAAAAUAGGAAAGAAAUUCAAAGAAAUCUGAAAAAAAAAAUUGGCGUGCAGUAUGUGUCUUUUUUGACUCAUGCUCUUCGAAUGUCCAAACAUCGUGAAAUUUUGCAUGGACAUCACUCAUUUGAGCAUCUUGGAUAAACAAAAAACAGGGUUGUCGAACUUUUCUGCUAUUUUAUUUUAUUUUAUUGUUCAUGGGUGCAAAUGAGCCCAGACCAAUCUUUGAAUUGAAGAUAUUUACUAGACUAUAAAACAUCCUUCCAACUAGUUCCCUAUGAAAAACAACAAGUUGAUACUGGGCCGUUGGUCUCAAACAUCAAACUAUAAAAUUGAAACACCAACUAGAAGGACAUUUGACAACACUCUAAUCUUAGGUGCUCAGAACUUCAGUGAUUUCUUCUAACGUUAGCAAAGUAGGGCAAUCNNNNNNNNNNNNNNNNNNNNNNNNNNNNNNNNNNNNNNNNNNNNNNNNNNNNNNNNNNNNNNNNNNNNNNNNNNNNNNNNNNNNNNNNNNNNNNNNNNNNNNNNNNNNNNNNNNNNNNNNNNNNNNNNNNNNNNNNNNNNNNNNNNNNNNNNNNNNNNNNNNNNNNNNNNNNNNNNNNNNNNNNNNNNNNNNNNNNNNNNNNNNNNNNNNNNNNNNNNNNNNNNNNNNACAACUUCACUAAGGCUUUGUUCGGUUGCCAUGGUUAGAUUCCACGAGUGGUUUCCGACCUCCUAGGGAUUGGGUGAUCCCCUACUUGUCACCCAACCCCCGCUGUUCUCCAAUCCACAUGAAUCCCUAUGACCAUAAUCUGUUCGGUUAUUCCCUUUCUAAUCCAUAUAUGAAUCAUACCCUGGUCAACAUCAGGUCAGAAUCAGGAGGAGAUGGGAAAGAAGAGGGGGAGAGGAGAAGAAGGAGAAGAGGCUUACCGGAUGGGAGAGAAGGGAGGGGUGGGGAAGUAUACCGCCAUCGUCAACUCUGGAUGGCUGCGCCGCCGCCGUCGAAUCACGGGAGAGAGAGAGAGAGAGAUCGAGGAGUCAGGGAGAGAGGGCUCGUACUUUUUCUUCUGGCGUACCGUCUCGUCCGUCGGGAGGGAUUGGUUCCACGAGUAGAGAGGCGAGGAUUAUAUCCCGGGUAGUUCCACGUGGUUUGCCCGACCGGGUUUAACCGAACAGACUUAUAAAGCAGGCCGGGGUGGAAUCCCGGUCGGGCCGAAACCACGGGGUUUGGCAGGGAUUGGGCGCCAAUCCCGGCGGGGGAGGGGCUAACCGAACAAGGCCUAAAAGGGUGGUGACAAGCCAUUAAUGGUCGUCUACAUGAGAACCCACCAAGUCCCAAUCAUACUCGCUCGGGCCUCAGUCCUCCUCAUCUCUCCCUUCCAACGUUCUCAUGGGUGGCCAGAGGUCGGAUAACCCAUCCUCUUCGUAGACCUUAGUUAUAGUACACUAGUAUAGAAAUAUUUACACGCAAUCUGAAUUAAUGGCACAGCAUUUUUAGUUCACACCACUAUUUUCUUUGCACGCCACAAGUAACAUAAUACUGAUGGUGUGCAUCGAACCGUCCACAUAACUAGUACUAUGUCGGACCAAGCAGUCUGGCCGAUCUCAAAUUAGUUGUGGCGUGGCAGACAGAGGCCCGCCACUAAUUACAUCGGCAUCAAUGGCAUGGGCUUUUUGGACAUGUUAUUCGUAUGUUCACCAAGGCCCAGUUUUCGGGCCCACAAUUACUAAUGGCGUGGGCUGUCAAUGACACGUUUGCCACGCUAUGGGUAAUGCCCAACUCAAUACUUAGCGAAAUUUUGAGGUGAAAGAGACCCAAAUUUUCAUUUUCCCGACGACCUCACCUCCUCUCGCGCCGCCGCUGUCCCAUUGACCUGGUCACGGCCCUCAACGGCAGCCUCGUCACUUGUCACCGACGUCGCCCUCUUCAUCAUUGAGCCCGUCGUUUUGGCGAUGCCCCCAAACCUGUCACUGUCACGCCACACGCGCCCUCGAGCUCCCAUGGGCCUCACCCUCACCGCUCCUACCUCGAUCGCACGUCACGCCCCCGGCGAGUACCUCGUCUACUAGCUUGUUUAUUGAAUUUAGGUGUUGUUUUUAGUGAAAAGAAUUUAGAUUGACAGAGAACUUAGGUCUCAAUGUCCCUCAGUUAGUAUUAGGAAAGAACUUUAUAGCAAGAGGAGAUAAUUUAAUUAACUUUAGGUUCAUUAGUUGAUUAGUUUUAGUUUCAGGUAUUGUGCUAUAUGCUUGAAAUAAGAAAGGAAGAUAGAAUAUAGAAAGAAAUAACAAGAGAAGAGAAAAACCUCAAGUUGUUUUUCAAUCUCCCUUUUAAAUAUUGUUGUGAUGAUGGUCAUAGAGUAAAUCAUAUGUGAUGUUUUAGAAUAAAUUAUUUUUUCCUUAAUUUUGUUAAUUUUACUAUACUAUAAGAAAUGACUAUUUUUUCCUUUCAUUUUUCUCAGAACAUCCUCUACUUUGCAAGGGCUGAAAUCCUCAAGAUGCUAAACAUUCGCAUGGAUCAGGAGACCAGAGUUGAGAUCCACAUCGGGACUAAAGAUGGCUUCAACUUCAGGAUUUAACACGAGUGAAAAGGAUCAAACCUUUUUUGGGAGUGCUGGUUGGAGAGGAUUGGCCAACGCGUAUGUGCUUGAAGUCUCAACAUGAGUAUUAUUGCCCAACCCGAUCUUGACCUUAUGGUACAUUUGCCCAAUCUGCAGGUCCUUCAUCAGUCUAAGUUUUAGGAAUAACCCACUAAUGGUGCAAUAUCCGAGCUUGUAUAGGAUUGUUAGACAUAAAUUCGUCACAAUCAAACAAGUUUUAGGACAAGAAAAUCCUGAUAUUUCUUUCCGUAGGGACCUUUUUGGCCCUCGCCUGGCAGCAUGGAAUGAAUUACUCACUCGCCUGGAGGACAUUCAACUGUCAGGUGAGCCGGACAUUUUUCGAUGGAACUUGCAUCAGAAUGGCAAAUUUUCAGUCAAAUCCAUGUAUGAUGCAAUGGUUCAUUGUGAUGUUCCAGUUGAUAACAGGAAAUUGUGGAAGCUCAAAAUCCCUCUAAGAGUGAAGAUUUUCCUCUGGUUUCUUAACAGAGGAGUCAUUCUAACUAGAGACAAUCUGGCACGACGAAACUGGCAUGGUUCCAAGACAUGUGUCUUUUGCCAAUAUGACGAGUCUAUUAAACACUUAUUUUUUGAGUGCAAGUUCGCUCGGGUAGUUUGGGCCAUAGUUCAAGUAGCUUCGAAUCUAUACCCACCACGUAGUGCACGGAACAUGUUCGGCAACUGGUUGCGGGGUAUUGAUAAACAAUUUUCUGCACAUAUUAUAGUGGGAGCCGCGGCCUUAUACUGGGCACUGUGGCUUACCAGGAAUGAUGUGAUUUUUAAUAACAAACGUGUCUCAUCUCCUAUGCAGGUUAUUCAUGUGUGUACACGAUGGCUCCGUAUUUGGUCUAUCCUGCAGAGGCCGGAGGACAGAGACCUUUUUAUGAUGGCGUCUACACAGCUGGAGCGUACGGCCAGGAAGGUUUUCUACCCCCAUGGAUGGCGGUGUGACCUACGGAUAGGAUCGGCCACUCCUUAGGCUGGACAUGUUUUUUUUGAUUGGCGUUGUAUCGAAUUAUCUUUUGCUUUUAGGGUAUUCUGGACUUUUUUGGCUGUCUGCAUCUAGCUAUGCAGAGGCCGGGCUUUCUUUCGAUGCGAUUGUAUCACCUCGAUAUAUGUAUUCAAUGAAAUGUCCUUUAUCGAAAAAAAAUCAGUCUAAGUUUUCUUAGCCAUCUGCAGAUCCAGAUGCAUAUUUACAGAUCGGAUUACCAGGUUAGCUAUUAGAUGCAUAUUUAUACAAGGGGUUGUACUAUAAUUGGCCUAUUACUGGACACAUUCAUGCAUAUUUAGUUUAGUUUGUUGCUUGCUUUGUCACUAUUACAUUGCCUGACUAUUAAAGGCUUUAAUUGACAUUCAGUUCUCGCUGUAAGAAUGCCAGGCUAACCUAGUAGUAGUAAGUAUGUCUAGUUUUCUUGUUUGUGAAUUCCACUACACAGUGGGUAGAUCUAUGUUGGAAAGAUGAAUGGCACACCAUUUGUUUUUAGGUACAAAAUAGGAGCAUAUGACUUGAUCGUUGUACAUUGAAUUAAGUUCUGUUAAGGAAGUUAAUUUGACAUUUACAAUAAAUAAAUUUUAUUCCACAGCGCAUGACAUGGUGCAGUGGAGGUAGAUGUCCAUGACGACUGUACUAGGGCCAACUUGGCAUUGCAGUGCCUGUCCAGCUUGUUCGCUGUGCUGUGUUCUCGCAAAUAUAUUUCUAUUGUAUGUUUAUUCGUCGUGCAUUUUGAUUUACCAGGACAACCAGAUUCAUGUUUAUCUCGCAUCAUCUGUUUCCUUGCAGCCGCUCGGGCGACUCGGGUGGCUCCCCAACCCUAGCCGCCGCCAGGACUUAGCCCAUCCUCCUCCCCUCCUCCCGCCGCUGCCGGAGGACGCCGCCGGCUUGCGCCCGGAGGUCGACAGCGGUGGCGGGGGCUCUUCCUCCCUCCCGCUUCUCAGGGGUGGCGGGACCCUAACAUGCGUGUAGGUGCGGCCGAUCUAGAAGCGACGGCGUUGGCUUCGACGGCGGCGGCGGUCGGCCCUGCCUCGGGCCACGGGCUGCUGCUGCUGCGGCUGGCCUGGAUCGGGCGGCGGCACGAUACGGUCUUCGGUGGCAUGUCAUCUGGCUUUAUAUCGACGGUGGCGUUGAGGGCCUGGUGGGCUGCUUGGCGGCACCCAUGGCAGAUCUGUUCUGGCCGGUGUAGCCAGUGGUGGUGGUCAUCUUCUUCGUCGGCAGUGGCCGGCCAGAAACUUGGUGAUUGGAUCUCGAGAUCCAUCAUCUAGUCCCGGCUGCGAGUUGGGGAGACAUGGUUGCAGGUGAAAACCGAGCCGACAGCAGGCAAUGGCGGCGUUCUACGCCGUUACCUUGAUGAAGUCAUCGUCGUGUAACUACUGUCGACCCACUCGUGCUGCUCCGGGGGAAACCCAAUGAUCUGGUGUUCCAGAUCGAACGAUGGCGACACUGCGGUGUCGUUUCUCUCUUGGGAGCAUCGUUUGUGGCGCAGCGCUGGAAGUCAGAGGCAGGAGGUGGAGCUACUUCGUCUUGCACGGAGCUUCGAUGGACAUGUCAAGUCAUGCCUGACCGACAGGUGCUACGCUUGGUCAUGCCUGGUCGGCAGGUGCUACGCAUGACAGAUCCUCCAAGAACUUCAAGCUGUGUCGGCUGGUGAUACUUGGCAGCAUGGCGCUGAGGUGUAUAUGGGCGACCGCGACGUGUUCAGCUGUUUGCGUGCAGGGAGGAGGUGCCGUUGGGCGCCGCGGUGGUGUGGACGAUAGCUGAACCGAGCAAGGUUGAUGCAUCAGUACAAUUCUAAAGAUGGAGCGGUGGCAGUUGGCGGCGGCGGCCUCCGAUAGCACGCCGGACCAGUGUUUAUCCCAAACCCGGCAAGUGGCUAGGUUGGGGUCUCAGGUCUUAAAUGUUAGGCUUGGCUACGAUGUCUGUUUGGUAUUAGGCUCAGGCUAUCUGCGCCCCUUUAUCAAUUGGAUAGGUGUAGCGAUAUUUUGUUGCUUAGACGGCGGCUUUAGUCUUACUGUUAUAUUGAUUUUAUAAGGUUUUAUGAGAAUAAUUAAUAAAAUGGUUGUAUGCGGGUCAUUUUUUUUUCUAAAAAAAACUGUUUCCUUGCACAGCAAUCAUGGUUCCGGUUUCUACAGCGCAGCGACUGGGAGAUACUCAUAAUGGACGCCAUCCUUGACGUCCGCACCGAAGAUGGGAAGCACCACACAAUGAGGGUGACGGUCGCAGACAACACGGCAGCUCCACCACCACCAGCUGACUGCAGGACAUGCAAGCCCCGGGCAACGCCGAAGCCGAAGCCUACAGCAGUGCCGACGCCGGUGCCUACAUCGGCGCCACCUCCGGCUCAGGAGAAGUGAUGAUCUCAUCUGGAGAGAUGCUCUUUGGUGGGUGGUCUGGACAUAGCUAGCGUGGAGUGAUUGUUUUGCUACGCCUCAUUCCUGGGAGAGAGAGAAAUAAAGUAGCGCGCACUGGACCAACUGAGCAGAAGAUCGGAUUGUUUUCGCAUACGCUGGGCGGAUGAUGCAGCCUAGAAUAGGUUACACGGGCGUUUGUUUCGCGGCGCGGCCGUACUCCGAAAUACUAUCUCACAAGACCAGAACUGCCUUGGGAUUUCUAGCAAGGGCAGCAUUUUUGGGCGAAUCUCAAAUUCUUUUGUUGGUUCAUCAUUCAUUCAUCACAUCUUUUGCUGGCUGCGGACUCGCAAUGCAGCUGUCUAUAAUACAUAUGCCGCUGCACGGUUGCAGAUUACAUACACAUACCGCUGCACGGUUGCAGAUUACUCUGAUACCGCUGCAUGCCUAGUUACCGUUUAUGUGAUGGUUGUUCCAGAUUACUC
rnacentral:lncRNA from 1 species